ACCAAACUAGGCCUUAAUCUUCGUAGUGUACAACCUCGUACUGUAGAAUGCUAGGGCAGGUAUAUAAGUUCACAAUCUCUACCCUCAGCUCAGUGUUCUAAGCUCCCAAAAUAAAUCCACUUAGCUGCAAGCCAGCAACCAUCCAUCUGCUUCAAAUCCUACAAUAAGCUAAUAUGUCCACCAUUUCGAUGGUCAUGGUAAUCUUACUGUCCAUGGUAAAUGAUGACCUCGAAUAUUAUCACAUUUCUCAUCCUCCAUCGUCAAUGUUUAUGGAAGACAAGGAACAAGGGUACUGCCGUUCUCCAGCUGCACCUGCUGAUGGAGACGGAGAUGACGACGACGAUGACGGUGAUGGAGGAUAUGAUUAUGCUCCAGCUGCUUGAAGUUUUCAUCGGGGCUUUACCAAUACCCUAGUUUUUAUACCAUCAGCCAAACCCUAGUUCUUGAAUACUAAAUCCCAUAUUUUAUUUAAACCCUAAAAUUUUAAGACCGCUAAUAGAGUGUAUCUAUCCCCUUGUACAAGGUUAUCCAAGAAUGUCUUUCACUUAGUUGAAAUAAGGAGAAUAUGUAUGUAGUGCUUUCUAAGGAAGAAAUCCUGCAGUUGAUCGUUAUAUACAGCCCUAAUUUCUUGGCUUUGCAUCUAUUAAAUCAGUACGCUGUGAAAGUUUGAGGUACUAGUGAAUGACUCGUUUCUUGCUAGUCACUUUUUAUACCCUAAGGAUUAUAAACUCCAACGGUUUGUGAAUCCAUACAUGUUCAUGUUUUAUCUUUUCUUUUUUCUUUUUUUCUUUUUUGGGGUCCUGGUAGGCCAUGUUCAUGUUCAUGUUAUCAAAAAGGCCUCCAAAAUAUUAAUUAGGAAUUAUAGUUCCAUUGCAAUUUCCAUGGUCAAAAUUAUGUAAUUACUGGGGCUUAUACGUACAAAAACAAUCCUGGAAUGGCCUCCAUAUCUCAAUCAUGGUCUGAUUUAGAGGGUGAAUGAGCAUUUCUGACAAAAGGUUAAUCGUUUUUGGUAAAGGAAAUGGAGUAGGGUUUGGAACUUUUCCAGUUCUGACUGAGCAUUUUGUCACGCAAAAGCACGAUAUAAUGCAUAAUGGAGCUCCAUCAUCUCAAUAUUUCUUACACCAAGAUGAAAAGGGCUAAUCAAGCCAUUGAAGUUUCGUACUCAUAAUUUGAAUUAUCUAUAUCUUUUUCAUACAUUUGAUUACUUUUAUGUUGGAUAUAUAUCUAAUUACUAAUUGUUACAGGAAGUAUAAGUUUUAGAUGGUUCCGUUUCUCAUGGAUUUAUAUAUCCAAACAGUGUUCAGUUUGGAGAAAAUCUAUCUCAAAUUGUCUCUUCGAGACUCCAAAAGAUUGGUUUGGGGGAUCUAGUGGCAUCUUAUUCACUUGAGAGCCGCCCUAUAUAUCCAAAAAUGGUCCCAUGCUUAUUAGUUAAAAGAUUAAUCUCGUAUACAUUCUCAAUAUAUGCACUAUCACCAUUAGAUAUAUGUCACAUGUGUAAAAUUUGAAUUUAGAAUCUAAAAUUUGCUCAUGUGUCAUCCAUCCAAUUGUGAUAGUGUAUAUAUUGACAAUGUAUAUAAAAUUUAUUCUAAGUUAAAAUCUAUUUCCCAUCGUUACUUUCAAGAAAAUUGUUGGGUAAAUUACAUGUAAUUCCUUCGUAGUUUCAUCUGUUGUCACGUGAUCCCUUUAACGUUUCAAAAGAUCCACUUCACUGCCCUAUGAUUUUAUGUAAAAUGAAAAUUUGACGAAAAAUAAUUAUGUACCAUCGGUAGUUAAAAUAUCAAUAGUAUCUUUACUUAAAUGCAAAAUUAAUAAAUGGUUUAACCAUCAUGUAUGCAAGUAUAAGGAAAUUACAUGAAUAAAUUCAAAAAUCAUAAGAAUUAAAGUGAAUAUUUAUACAAAUUAUAAGGGAGUACAUGGAUAUUAAGAUUUUAUCACAUGUGCUUUAAAGCCCGUUUGGUGUCCAUUUUCUAGUUUACAUAGAACCACACGGGAAUUAUGUGGCUAUUUUAACUUUAUGGGGGUUAUCUGGCAUUUUGUAAAAUCACAGGGGGGUAAUAAGUAUUUUACCCAAAAUUGUUUGCCCUAGACGUCGUGCUUCAAUUAAAUUUUAUAACUUACGCAUUUUCUUAAAAGUGAUCCUCGAAUGAACUAAUAUGGCAAAAUUUUCCACUUAAGGUUGAAUGGUUGCUAGAAUGGAAGCUCCAGCCCGGACCUUUCGUUUUAGAAUUGCAAUGACCCUAGGAACUUUUUUAUAGGUAUGUCUAACAAGAGUUCUACUUAAAAAAACCUUGCCAUUAAAGGCUUGGUGAGGUGGGAGACAAGGGUUCAGACGCUUGGUGUAGUGCACAUUAAGUUGCCUCUCACCAACUGCCACAUUAAGUAGCUUCUUAAAAAAUUCAACAAGUGUGUAGUGCACUCGUCUGGUCCGAUAGUGAUUCAGUUUCCAUCGAUCCCCCUAAACCCAGUUGGUCUGCCCCUUAUAUUAGGAUAGUGUAGGAUACUAUAGAUAAAAAAAAUGACGAUUGACAAAAAAAAAAAAAAAAGCAUUCUACUUGCAGGAAUAGGAAUACGAAUAAUUUCGAAUACCUUCUCCUGAAGUUUCUGACAAUUUUACUGACCUCCUUUGAUAUUUGAAAAAUUACACGUAUCUCCCUUGAUUUGAUAGUUUUAUUAACAAAAUUUUAAAAUAAUAUUGAGUUGGUCAAAUUUUUAAAUGAAUAUCCAAAAAUGCUCUUGUGUAAUGAGUUUUAAUUUACUUUUCCAUACAAUUAUAAAAUUAUCUAGUAUAAUUAUAAGAAAAGGUGCCAAAAUUUUCAUGUCUAUACUUACUAUUUAAUAAAUAACUAUAAUAAUAAUUUUAUCACUAUGGUAGAAUAUUUUUUAUGGUAUUUUAUUUUGAAUUUAAAUUUAUAAGUUGAAAAGAAAAUGUUGAAAUAAUUCAUUUAGAGUUUAGAAAUUUUUUGAGUUGUGGGAUUAUCAUAAUUUAGUAAUGAUUUUGGAUCAUUUCCUUUUGAUUUAUUGUUAAUUUUAAUACCAAAAAAUAGAAAAUAAAUAUCAGCAAAAACAUUGGAUUGCGUAUAAAGUUAAUUUAUCAAAAAAAUCACUAGUUUGAUAUUUGAUUACAAUAGAAACUAUAGGUAAUAGUGAUAGUUCUACAGUUUUAUUGGCAAAAAAUUCAAAAAAAAAAAAGGAAUAAGAAGGAAAAGAAUAAAAUUUUUUUUAAAAGUCAUUCUAAGUAUAAACAUACAAAAUAAGGGAAUUUUAUUAAAAUAUUUAAGGAUAGUACUAUCAUUUUAAAUAACAAGUGAGGUAUAUAUAAUUUUUAAAAUCUCAAGAAGCUAAAUGAAAUUAUUAAAAACCUCAAGGGAGGUUUUUGAAAUUAUCCCAUAGGAAUAUGAAUGUCGACAUUUUUUGAAAUUUGAAUGCUCAAAAUGUGGCCAUGACUCUUGAGUCCAUUCCCCAUGCUCCACGGUAGCAGCUCGACCACAUGCCUGAUUUCACAUCAUAUGAUUGUGCUUCCGGAGUCUCUCCACUUCCAGCAACCAAAGUAGUCCCCGUCUCAUUGAAUGGUUGAUUGAAUGGUUCAAGAUAUUUAUCACGUCAGAAAAGUCAAAGCAAAUUUUAGUUUAUCUUUUCAAUAUAAUUCUUCUUUCUAAUCGUAUGCAUCUAAUCAUUCAAAUUUAAAAUUUGAAUUUAUAGGGAUAAAAUUGAAAAAAGAAAUACAAACAUCACAAUUAAAUCACUAUAUUUAAGAAAGUUGAAUUUCCGAAACAUAAUUAAAUAAUUGGAACAGAGGGAGUAGUAGGUUUGUAGCACAUGAAUGAUGAAACCGCAGUGCAAAAAUUUGGAGCAAUGCAAAAAUAACUCUCUUAAGGGGUAUGUUGGUCGUUGAAUUGUAUGAGAGGUGAUUAUGGAUCAGAGAACAAAUCAAGGAUAUAAAGCUUCUGAGAAUAUUCGAUCAAUGGAUGUUUAGCUUGGCUUUGUGUGCACAUGCGAUGCAUACGUGAACAGCAAUACCGUAAUCAAAUCAGGUCCGUUAAAAAUGUGCUAGCUUUUUCAAUCUUGCUUGCUCUUUUAUCUUCAUUAGGCCUAUAUUUAUAAAUACUAGUGGGGAAUCGCACAUACUGUGUGUGUGCACAUCAAACAAAUAUUUUUAAAGCAAGGAAAAAAAGGGAUAAUUUUUUUUUUGGAGAUUAUUCAAAAUUUUUUGGUGAUUAAAACGUGAGUAUAUUAUGUUGAAUUUUGAAAGGAUACACUUCAAAUAAAAAAUAAUAAUGAUGUAAUUUUUUAACAUCAAACUCGUGAGCCAUCCAUUAUACAUGGAGUGAUAUAUAGAAUUCAGCCUCAAACAUAAUAAGUGUACAGUGUUGAUGCCGUUUCAAGAACCGACCGACCAGAUUGUGUGAUGUGGCAGUUUUAAUUGUUUACUCCCCUUUUUUAUUAAAAAAAUAAAAAUAAAAAAAAAUAAAGUCCCGGUAGCGUCAAGCCCUCGUCCGGUCAUGCCCUUGUGGCCCAACGACAUGGUGGACGUCACCGGUCUUGUCUUCCCGUACUGGAUUUUGUCCGAUGAAUCGAUAUUUUAACCAUAAAAUUGUACUUGCGUCUCCGGGUAACUAUUUUGCCCCAAAAAGAAUGGAGUAUUACCGUAUAUGGAAACAAGACAGUGUGAUGCAUGAUAGAUACUCUAAUAAACAGUUUCCUGGAUUAUGAUCUGCUGAUCAUAUGAUUUGUCUGUCAAAAUUUAAGUUGACCAAAAAAAUUCUUCCCGUGUCCGCACCGGAGAGUAGUUCCUGCGUACCAAUCCCCGUUUAUUUUACUCCAGAGCCACACUAAACAUAAAGAUGAACAUUGAAUGUUAGGAGGAAAGAUUGUAAGUAAACCUUUAAGACCUCGACAUUUAUUUGAUUUUUUUUUUUUUUAAAAAAAAGCAAGUAGUAGAAGGACGGUUAACAUUUUGUUGAGUGAUGAAUAAAUUUGAUGGCACGGAAGAAGUAAUUCAAAGAGAGAUGUCUCGAGUUUCAACACUUUCACUUAUAUUUAAAAAAGUUUUUUUUUAAAAAAAAAAAACGGAUAUUACUGACGUGUCAUAUGAGAUCUCCGACGUGGUUAAGGGACCAGUGGCACACACGUAAUCGGCGUCGGGAUGUUGUCAUAAUCCCCGUGCCAGCCCUGCGCUGCACCACGCCUCCCCUGCUUCCGAUCCACUUCUAUAGUGUUAUAUACUCCCCUGCUACCCAGUCUUCCUUUACACCAAGUCCAGUCUAACAAAAAAAAAGAAAAAAGAAAAAACUCCUCCAAUACGUAGUCCUCGUACUUCGCUUACCAGAAGUAUAUUUAAAUUUUCCUUUUCCAUUUUUGUCUCCUCGGUGAAGUUUGAGUUGAUCCGACUACCCGACAAGAGAAAAAAAAAUAAAUGUCGAUUGCUUUUAGGAACAUCAUUAUUGAGUCGUCAUGGUACGAGAAGAAGAUGAGGAGGCAGCACGCAGAUGGAGAUGACGAUGAUGAUAAUGGCGGCUAUGAUUAUGCCCCAGCCGCAUGCGUUGAAGGCGAUGGCGACGACGAUGACGGAGAUUAUGACUAUGCUCCGGCUGCAUCCCUGGAGGAGGAGGGUGAUGACGACGAUGACGAUGACGAUGACGGUUAUCAUUGUGCUCCAGCUGCAUGAACUUCAUUUACUUCACCCAAAAUUUCAUACUUGCACCUGGGAAUCUUUUCGCAUGUUCUUUUUUUUUUUUUUAAUCAUAUCGAACCUUCCAAGUUACAACUCAAUUAGUAUUGAUUAAUUGUAGUAUUCCUCGUUUCUGAUAUUUUAGCCUCAGAACCCUAAUGGUGAAAUCUAUUAACUUCCUUUUCCGGAUUUUUACAGUUUCUGGUUCUGCUGCUCUUUUUGGUUUGUUUAAUUGUACUGCUAACGUUACGUGGGUUGCAGUACUGUUCAGUCAGAGUGAUAAUUUAAAUAAAGUCACAAUAUUAUAUAAUUUAUUUGUGACAGUAUAAUACGACCAUCAGCAUGAAUAAAUUUUGCAACUGACGUGUUUUAAAUUUCUUUUCAAACGACAAAGCAUAACUUUGGGGUCGCGGGGCUCAUAAAAGAGGCCCGGUUAUAGAGAAAGAGGGGCAGAGGAGGAGGGAGGGACUAGGGAGGGAGGGAGGGAGAACAGAAAAAAACAAAGAAGGGUGUCAGUUGGCAGUGAUGGGUUGAGGCAAGGGAGGAGGAGGAGGAGGAGGAGGAGGAAGAAAAAAAAGGAAAGAAAGGAAAAAACUGUGUGUUUUUGUGGUAUGUAUUUUAAAACUCUUGGGAUAUUUUAGAGGGUUAUUAUAGUUAAAGUUGCUACAAAAUUUAUCUAUUAAAAAUCGGCCAAAAAACUCGUCUCCCAAACGGAGCCGUAAUUUCACCUCUUCUCUUCCGUAGAGCCGUGAAAACGGCAUCAUCUACGUCUAGCUGUCACCAGUCACCACCAUGCACAAAAACUUUCAAACUCUUUUGACUGAUUCUGGACCGACAAUUCGCCUUUUUGCCCAUCCAUGAUGGUGAACUAUUUACUUGCCAGCCAAUGUGCUUGCUGACUUGUCAUUUGAAUGUCCGAUCUGGAGUGCAGUUUCCUGAUCUGGCAAAGCUAUUUGGGCUACAUACAACCCGGGUUGGGUAUUCACAUCCAUCAGGUACCACUCCACAAAUUUCCACGAGCUGGCCCUGUGCCUAAUUCAGUAUACCAGUGCUUAUUAGAACUCGCUUAUACAAGCUUUUAUGGCAUCCUCGUCCAUGCAAUCCCACUUCCCGUUUCUUUCCCAGUCACACUCUUCGACCCAGAAACCAUCCAUUUUUCCAACUUCUUGCCCAAAGUACAAGAAAGCCAUCCAAAUGGAUUUGAUGAGAGCAUGCCAAAGAAUCAUGCUCCAGCAGAAUGGCUGGAAGGAGAUGAAGACAAUGUUAGGCGGUUUAAAACUGUGCUCUGGCAGGAUUCCUGGAAAUUGAUGAUGUUGGCAAUGAUCAGGGGCCAGCUGCACGAAUGCACCCAAAGUAGAAAUAUAUAUCAACAAAUUCAUAUCACUUGGACAGUCAAGCAAACCAGCAAGAAGCCAGUGAAGGUUGUAAUGAUUAAAAAAGACUAAAUGAUUUCAAACAACACCAAUGCUUUUCUUGUUUAAGUGGGCAGUUUAAUUCUUUCUGGUAUAAGAAAGAAAAUUCCUUGAUUGGCAGCUAGUAAUGACAGCGAUCAUAUUGAAUGGUCUCUGUUACGAGUAAGAACAGCAACUUAGCCAUGGUGAAAGUUCAUGUCACUCUCCAAAGAAAAAAUUACAUACACGAUUUUCUGAUACGUUUGAGUUGUGUUUUGUAGUUGAGCCGGAUGAAUUACGAGAAGACAAUUUCCUCAAUGACAGCUUAGUAAUUCAUAGUAAUAAGGUUUAAAUAUCUAGGCAGAUUAACAAUUGCAUUCUUGAUUUUCAUUUUAAGGUAACUUCACAGUUCACAUAAACCGGCUGGCACAAAGGCUUACUUAUAUGUGAAAUGUUUCUUUUGUUUGGCCAAUGAUUCGAGAAAUCUCUCCACACAUCAGCAAUCUUCUACCAAAGUCUAGAUAUAUUAAGCAUCAUUGUUAACCUAAUAGUAGGAACCUCAGAGAUCCCUACUCUCUAACAACAAUAAUUUUCUGAUUCACUUAAAACUUGCAACUCCAGUAACUAUGCGUAGAACUAGUAUGGCUAUUACUUACCUGAUCUUGUGCUGCCUACUCCCUCUAGACCUGCAUGAUUUGUGAUAUGCUUGUAUUUGAAGACCCCCACUUUCGUUGACGCAAUCCUUGAGUACCUUUCUUGUCAAAGAACAAAACAAGAAGCUGAGCAAAUCAAAACACAUGCAGCGUGGCAAGGAUUGUUGUCUUCAUCUGAUACUGGCUUUGCUUGUGUUAAUUAUUCCUCAGCCCUCAUUAAACUGAUUUAAGUAAAACCAAUAGUUUGAGAACCUCUUAUCAACGAUGUGAAGAUUACAUUUUUUAUGUUUCCAGCACUUAAAUGUAUGAUCAUUGUCAUACUAAAGAACUUCCAGAAGAUCAAGGCUUAGAAAUCUGAACUACUAGAGUGGAGAAAUCACUGAUUCCUGAUCGAUCACAAAAGCACGCCUUCAUUUUGUUGCCUUAUUCGGCUUUUGUCUCUUCUAUGUGCAAUAGUGGGCUAGCCAUGCUAGACAAAGUGAACUUAGUCUAUUUCAUUCCAGUGCUGCAAAUGGCCAGCAAUCAACUCAUGUAUAUUGCUAUCAGCUUCAAUUGAACUGCAUCCAGGGGACUUCUUAAAUCCAAGGGUGCUCAUUUCCCUUCUGACCUUUUUGACAUCUUCCCACCUGUUCACAGACGCAUAAAUGUUGGCCAGAAGAGAAUGAGUACUAGAAUCACUACAUUGAAUUUGUAUCAAAAUGUUAGCAAUGCGUUCACCCAUAUCGACAUCACCAUAGGUUCUGCAAGCGCUGAGUAAAGCACCAUAAAGGGGUACUACAAUUUUGUUAUCUUUAUUGGGUAUAUUUGCUAUCAUGUCUUGAGCUUCCCCUAAUAGUCCAGCGCGACCAAAAAGAUCUAUCAAGCACCCAUAAUGCUCUAACUUUGGUUCAAUGUGAUAGACAUUUUUCAUGGAAUCAAAAUGUUGGCGGCCUUCCUCUACUAGUCCACCAUGACUGCAAGCACUUAAAACUCCAAUGAAAGUGAUAUCAUCAGGUUUAAUUCCAGCUUGUUUCAUUCCUGAGAACAGUUCCAGCGCCUUGAAGGACUCACCGUUCAUGGCUAGCGCACAAAUAACAGCAGUCCAGGAUGCCGUGUCUUUCUCCUUCAACGUGUUGAAAAUUGCCAGGGACUUUUCAAUACAUCCACACUUUGCAUACAUCUCUAUCAAAGCAGUGCCGACAACAGCAUCAAUUGAUAUCCUGUUUUCCACAAUGCAAGCAUGAAGCCAUUCCCCUUGUUCCAUGGCACCCAACUGAGCACAUCCAGUAAGUAAAGUAACCAAUGUGAAUUUAUCUGGUAUUAUCCUUUCCAUUUGCAUCUCCCUAAACAAGGCUAGUGCAUCAUCGACACGAUUAAACUGUACAUACCCAUUGAUCAUAGCUGUCCAAAGAAUAAGAUCGCGAACUGGACUUCUAUCAAACAAUUCUCUGGCAUCAUCGAGCUUACCAUUACUGAUAUAACCUGAAACCAUACUUGUCCAACAUAUGACAUUCCUGUUUGGUAUGGUAUCAAAAAUUUGCCUAGCUAUAUUCAAGCAUCCACACUUGGAAUACAUAUCCAACAAGGCAUUUCCAAUUAUAACAGUCAAUUCAAGUUCAUUGCUCACAUAGUCAUGUAUUUCUCGCCCAAGUUCCAAAUUUCUCAGUGCAGUACAAGCAGAUAAAGUACUCACAACCGUAGCCUCAUCAGGUUUAAGAUUUGCUUCAUGCCUCAUCCUCGUAUAUACCCCAAUGGCAUCCUCGAAUUUAUGGCACCUAACAAACCCAGAUAUCAAGACAUUCCACGAGACCAAGUCUCUCUGACGCAUUUCGUCAAACACCUUUCUCAAACUGUCCACAGAACCCUCCACGCCAUAACAAUCCAUGAUUGAGUUACAAACAUAGCAAUCAAAUCCAUCCCCACUUUUCAAAACAAAGCCAUGAAUCUUUUCACCUUCUCUUACCGAUUUCAACUCUCCAAUGGCCUUAAAAACAAAGGGAUAAGUGUAAUUAUCAGGCCACAAACCGUGCUUUCUUAGCUGAUCAAACAAACAAAGGGCUUUUCUGAAAUUUCCAGCUUUCGUGUGUGCUUUGAUCAUCACAUUGUAGAUAAAUAGACUCGGGGUUUUAACGUGGUCAAAGAUUCUUUGUGCGUAGCCGAGGUUUCCUAGAAAAGGGUCAGCAGUGAAGGCCACGAGCUUGUGGAUAAUGUCUAAGUUUUGGUGGAGGCCUAAUAUCAAGACUUGCGCUUGGAUUUGCAUCAGGUGGGUCAUGGAUUUGCAAGUCUUGAGGAGGUAUACACAUGAUUUCUUGGUGAGGAUUGUUGUUCGUGAAGAGGGGGCAGUUGACAAGUGCGAAACAAAUUGGCGGGAAAUAGGUUUCAUGGGCGACGGACGGCCGUCUCGCUCCCCCUGUAUUUGUAUUGCUUUCAUCGGCGAGGAAUAAAGGCCUUUUGCGUCUUCAAGGCCACGUCAAAUUUGGCCUCAAAUUUAAUUGAUUAAGAAAAUCUUGGUUGAAGUUUGAGCGCCUUCAUUUUUUCAAAACAACAGAAGAAUGGUACACUUUUUUUGCUUGCAUUUCUUUCUUUUUCUGAGAACUAUUUUAAGAGUCUUGGCUGGGAAAUGUUUGAGUAUUUGUCAGAGACAAUUGACAGUCGAUAUUUUUUUGCAACAUAAUGGUUUUGCUAUUCAAUCUAAAUAGUAUCAUUCACACGUUUAAAUUAUAUUAUUCAACAAACUCAUAGAAGUGUUAAUGAAACCUUAUAAAUUAAUAAUCUUUGAACCUUACAAAAUCUAUUAAUUUAAAAAUAUAUUAAUUAAUUGAUAAAUUAAUAAUUUAUCGAGUGUAUUUAUAAUUCAAAGAACCACUCAUUUAAUUAAACAGAGUACUGUUUGAUUUUAUAAAAAUAUGAAUUUUUUAAUAAAUGAAGGCCAAAAGUGUAAGGAAUAUAAACCAAUCCAUAACAACUUAAUUUCGAAGUAUAUAAUUUAAUUAUAUUAAUGUCUUCAAUGUACAUAUGCAACUAAUAUCAUUUUUCUAUCAUCGAAAGGUCAAAAAGAAUUAGAAAUACUAAAUGAUAGAUGUCCACUACCAUUUUAUGAAAGAAAAUGUUAUUUGCACUUCCAUUUUUAUUAAUCACACUUCUACUAUCAUUUUAUUCAUAUAGAUUUUAUUUAGGGAUAAUUUCAAAAACCUUCCCUGAGAUUUUUUACUAUUUCAUUUGCCUCCUUCCAUGUUCUGAAAAUUACACUAACCUUCCUUGAAAUUUAUUAUUUUGUAACAUUUAGGUUCAACUAAUAAUAAAAAAUGAUAUUAGAAGAGAGAAGAUAAUAUGAUUUCAUCAUUGCCCCUCAUCUACUAAAUUAUUUAAUUAAUUUAAAUCAGUCUAAAAAUUAAAGAAAAUACUAGAAUUUGUUUUUUAUCAUUAUAAAUUAAAUCGUAUAUGGUAUUAGAAAUAGUAUAUCAUUCUAUAUAUUUCACUUGAUGUAAGAUUCAAAUUGCUCUUUUCAGUUACAAACUCAUUAUCAAACAUGAUCAACAAUAAAUAAUCAAAAAAUCUGUAACAAAAAUAUUACAAAGAGCGAAUUUUAAUAUUAUAAAAAUUUUAGUGACUAAGUUUAAUAUGUUGACAAGAAUAUUUAUGAUGUUAAAGUUUGUUCUCUAUAAUAUUUUGGUUGCAGAUUUUUUUAUUAUUUGUUAUUGACCAUGUUUGAUAAUGGGUAUGUAAUUGAAAAGAUUAAUUUAGAUCUUACAUUAUGUGAAAAUAUAAAACAAUACAUUAUUUUUUGAUAUUAUAUGUAAUUUGAUCUCUAAUGAUAAACAUCAAAUUUUAGUGUUUUUCAUUAAUAUGUGAUUUGGUAUUAAAUUAAUUAAAGUAGAUCAGAGGUUUGAUGGAAUCAUAUCAACUUUUCUCUUCUAAUAUCACUUUUUAAUUACUGAUUGGAUUUAAAUAUUAUAAAAUAAUUAAUCUUAACGGGGGUUAGUAUAAUUUUGAAAAUUUGGAAUGAGGCCAAUGACAUAGUCAAAAACCUCAUGAGAGGUUUAUGAAAUUAUUCCUUUUAUUUAUUAGAUUAUAUAAUGAAACAAACAGUGAGAAUGUAAAUAAUAACAACAUAGUGCAAAUAACAUUUUUUUUUAUCAAAUGCACAUAAUGAAUUAGAUCAACAAUAUUUAUGUAUAUAGAUGAUAGAGAAGUUUUCUUUAUAUAAUAAACAAUUACCAAGUUUUUUUUACACAUUUCAUUGUUAAACUAUGGUUGUGUAUAUAAAUCAAUCACGACUCAUCGAAUGUCCAAAGUAUUAAAUGAGAAAUAGGAAAGAAAACGAUAGAUUAAAGGAGAAAUCGGAUCAUCAUCAACUGAGUUGCCAAAUUUACUUUUCAAAAACUAUUCAUGUGAUGGGUUUAUGACCUAUUCUUGUCAAAAUUUGACUGGAAAUGUGACGAUUGGUUAGUGUAAUUUAAUUUUUGCUGCAACAAUAAUAUUUUUAUAACUUAAUUUAUCAUAUUUUAUAGGGAGAGAAGGACUAAAGAGAGGAGAGAAAGCCUGAAGAAAUUUUAUAAGGGGUUAGAGUCUAAAGAGGGACAAUGAUAAUAUUUUUAUAACAUAAUUUAUCCUAUUUUAUAGGGAGGGGGAGCCUAAAGAGAGGAGUAAGAGUUUUAAAGAGGCUGUGUAAGGAGUUAGAACCUAAAAAGGGACAACGAUAAUAUUUUUAUAACUUAAUCUAUCAUAUCAACAUGCAGAGAGAGCCUAAAGAGAGAAAGAAGAGUCUAAAAAGACUGUUUAAUUUAAUCUAUCAUAUUCUACGCGGAGGAAGAGUCUAAAGAGAGGAGGAAGAAUCUAAAAAUUAUGUGUAAGGGGUUAGAGUCUAAAGAAGGGAGGAAUAGCCUAAAGAGGUAGGGUUAGAGCCUAAAGAGAGGAAAGAAAGCCUAAAAGAGGAGUUGUGUUAAAGUCUAAAUGAGGAGUUUAAAGAGAUUGUAUAGGAGAUUAGAGCCUAAAAAGGGGAGCAAGAGCAUAAAGAAAUUGUGUAAUGGAUUAGAGCCUAAAGAGGGGAGGCACUAUGGGUAAGGAUUCUUAGCAACAAGUAUAAGGACUCAGGAGGAUAUGGGAGCAAAUCCUUCGUCUGGAGGAGCAUAGAGAAAGGCAGAAGGUGGUGAGGAAAGGAGUGCGGUGGACAAUGGUAAAUGGGAUAGAUACUAGGUUUUGAAAGGGCGCAUGGUUAUUAGAGAAGCCGCUAGUGGACAUAAGUGGGAGGGAAAUUUCGAUAGGAGAACUGCAUAAGAAAGUCAGGGAUUACUGGGUUAUUGGGGAGGGAUGGAGUUUGGAUGCAUUGGAACCUUUACUGUCCUCCCAAAUCCUAAGUAAACUAUUGGAAGUUCGCUUAGUAGAAGAAAGCACCGACAAGGAUUUGCCAGUGCCAGGGGAGUGUUCUCAAUAAGAACUGCAUAUCAGCUAGAAUGUGAUGAAGAAGUGCUUGCGAAUGGAAGCAAAUUUGAAAGCAAAGAGGACCGGACAAAUAGCAGUUCAUACUGUGGUUAGCUAGGCACCAAUGACUAUUAACUAAUGCGGAAAAGAAGAGAAGACACCUCCAAGAGAUUAGUUACUGUGAGCUAUGUGGGCAGGAUCCGGAAACGCAGCUACAUGUUCUAAGAGAUUGUGCCUGAACAAGGAAGUUAUGGUUUAGUCUAGUUCAUCCAAGAUAUUAGAAGGAAUUUAAUAACAAGAGUGCAGAAGAGUGGAUAGACUAGAAUAUGAUGAGAGGAAAUAUAGGCAGAUGGGAUCACCUGGACUGGCAGGUAAUGUUCCAACAGGUGGUAUACUUAAUAUGGGGAGGCAGAAAUAGUUUUUACAUCAAUAGGACAGCACUAAAAUCAACAACCUAGAGAAAGGGGUUGUUGCAGUGCUAGAAGCUAAUCAAAGAGUACUAGAGAAAGAAACCAGGAGCAAGAAAAGGCAAAUUAUAAACAUCGGGUGGGGUAAACCGGAGAGAGGUUGGAUAAAGGUUAAUGUAGAUGGGGCGUUUAUCUCUAGGAGUGGUACUGCAGGAGCUGGAGAGCUAUUAAGAGAUGAGUAUGGAAUGUGGAUUAGCGGAUUUUGGGCAAAUUUAGGACAGAGGACCAAUACUGAAGCUGAACUAUGGGCUAUCGGGUUUAGAAUGAAGACAGCAUGGGACAAGGGAUACAGGAGAGUGAUCAUUGAGCUUAUUGACAAAGCGCCAACAGAGAGCCUACUUAUGGUGCAGAUCAGCCAAAUCCGAAAGUUAAGGGCGAGGCAAUGGCAAUGUGAGCUAGUACAUCAAUGGAGGGAGGGUAAUUUGAGUGCGGAUUGGUUAGCUAAGAAUGGCUUGAAUUUGGGAGCGGGAGUUUAAGAGUUGGUAUCUCCUCCAGAGAAGUUGAGAAAGUGGGUGGCAUAUGAUGUAAUAGGCAUUACAACGCCUAGAUUAGUUGCCAUGUAAUGGGUCUAAAGCCCUCCUACCAAACAAAAAAAAAAAAAAAGAGACUAUGUAAAAACCUAAAAGGAAAGCCUAAAAAUGUUGUGUAAAAAAUUAACAGGUAUAUUUUUUUUCAAAGCAGAUGGAGUUCGAACCCCCGAUCUGCAACAUAAAGAGAAAUGGCCACUGAGCUCAUGCAAACGUGGAAAACGACAACGUUCUUAACUCUUCCUACUGUCCCCAGCUCUGCCCAAUCUUGAUUGCUCCCCUCUCUCUCUCAUCUCUCCAUUCAUUGAAGUUACUCCGUACUUUUCUCUGAAUCUCUCUCAGAUCAUUCAAGUGAUAAAAGGUUUUGCAUUUAAACCCUCCCCCUGGGAUUUUACCUGCAACCUUAAAUUAAGGGAUAAUUGCAGAAACCUCCCCUGAGGUUUCCGACAUUUGCACUGACAUCCCCUAUAGUUUGAAAAAUUACACUAAUUUCCCCUGAGGUUAUUAAUUCUUUGCAAAUUCAAUCCAAACGAUUAAAGUAUUGUUUUAGGGAGUGAAAUUAGAAUUUUGUCCAAAUUUAUCCUUUGUAAUACAUGUCCAAUGAAUAACAAAGUGCUACAAAUCAAUUAACAAUUAAUAAAUUUUAAGGAGUAUAAUUUAUAUGCAAAUACGCAUUACUUAUUUAAAAUACCGACUUUUUAUGGGUAUUUUACUUUCAAGUAUUUAAUUUAAUACAAAUAUUUACGCUCAAAUACAGAUUUAUAUUUACUUUCAAAUAUUUAAUUUUUGUUAAAUACAAAAACUUCCAAUUUCUCUUCCAUAAAAAUAUUAAUAUAACACUUUUUUAAUUUUAGUUAUAAAUAUUUAUGUAUUUAUCAUAAAUGAAAUGAUUCAAAAUAAAAUACUCAUAAAGAGCCAAUACUUUACUCAUGUAAUGGAUGAAAAUCAUAAAGAAUUAAUACUUUAUGGGCCAAUUUUUUUAAAAAAAUAUUUAAUUUAUAUUAAAUAAAUAACCUACUAUUUCCUUUUUAUAAGAAUAUUACUGUAACACUUUUUAAAUUUUACUUACAAAUAUUGAUAUAUUUAUCAUAAAUUAAAUGUUUAAAAGUAAAACACUCGUAAAUAGCACUUUAAAUAAAUAAUGUGUGUUUGCUCAUAAAGAGCAGGUAACUAUUUAAAGUAUCGGCUUUUUAUGGGUAUUUUACUUUCAAACAUUUAAUUUAAUAUAAAUAUUUACGCUCAAAUACAGAUUUGUAUUUGCUUUCAAAUAUUUAAUUUUUGUUAAAUACAAAACCUACCAAUUUUUCUUCCGUAAAAAUAUUAAUAUAACACUCUUUCAAUUUUAGUUACAAACAUUUAUGUAUUUAAUAUAAAUUAAAUGAUUCAGAAUAAAAUGUACAUAAAGAACAAAUACUUUACUCAUGUAAUAGAUGAAAGUCAUAAAGAAUUAAUACUUUAUGGGUCAUUUCUUUUUUUUAAAAUUUAAUUUAUAUUAAAUAAAUAACCUAUCGAUUUUCUUUUUGCAAGAAUAUUACUGUGACACUUUUUUGAAUUUUACUUACAAAUAUUGAUAUAUUUAUUAUAAAUUAAAUGUUUGAAAGUAAAAUACCCGUAAAGAGCUAGUACUUUAAAUGAGUAAUGCGCGUUUGCCCAUAAAUUAUACUCUUUAAAGUUUAUUAAUUGUUAAUUGAUUUAUAGUACUUUGUUAUUCAUUGGACAUGUAACACAAAGGGCAAAUCUGGUACAAAAUUUCUAAUUUCACUCCCUAAAAUAAUAUUUUAAUUGUUUGGACUAAAUUUGCAAAGGAUUAGGAACCUUAGGGGAGGUCAGUGUAAUUUUUUAAACUAUAGGGGAGGUCAGUGCAAAUGUCAUAAACCUAAGGGGAGGUUUCUGCAAUUAUUCCUUAAAUUAAUCAACGACAAUUAUCUGUGUCGGCAGUGCAAAUUGGAUUCUCAUUAGGGCUCUCUCUGUCUCUUUUAUUUUUUUUUCACCCACCCAACCACUUUGUCUUCAUAUGCUCUGUUUUCCUUAUUGCUAUUCGCCAGAUCAUAUGAUUUGAUCUUUUACUUCAGACCCAAAGUUUACUUUAAUUCCAUUUAAAUUUGUUACUUUUUAAAACUUUUCUCGGUCUUGAAUCCAUUUUCUUUCUGCACAUUAGUUGAAAUUAAUAAUUGUUUUUAGUGAAACUGAAAUCCCACCGGUAUUUAGCGGUUAUUUUUCUGUUCUCCCCCUUCUUUCCCCUCGAAAUUCAGCUCAGAUAGGGAGAACUAACUAAUAAUUGUGAUUUUUUUUUGGGCAUCUUGUUUAUCCAAGUUUCUUAGAUCGAAAAAAAUCUGAGUCAAUAUGUUCCCGCUCCCAAAUGUACGCCUUGAAGCUUAUAUUUAGCUCAAUUUCCAGUAUUUCCAAGAUCAAAUCUUUGCAUCAAGGUCCCUGAUCUUGGUGAUACUUGCCAAUCUUGCUUGAUCUUUGUAGAGAAGGAAGGGGAAGCGAAAAUUCUGAAACCCCUUCUUGAUUUGAAGAAAAUGGCUUCGAUUCGAUUUGAUUCAUCCAAGCAAGCUUAUGCUACUAGCAGUCUUGUGGUGGGCUAUGCAUUAUGCUCUAGUUUACUUGCUGUCAUAAACAAGUUUGCCAUAACUAAAUUCAACUACCCGGGUCUCCUCACUGCAUUGCAGUACUUAACUUCAGCUCUGGGCGUUUGGGUCUUAGGGAAAUUGGGAUUCUUGCACCAUGAUCCAUUCACAUGGGACAUUGCCAAGAAAUUCUUGCCUGCAGCUACUGUUUUCUACCUGGCAAUCUUCACAAAUACCAAUCUUUUGCGACACGCCAAUGUGGAUACUUUCAUAGUCUUCAGAUCUUGCACACCCCUUUUGGUGGCUAUUGCCGAUACUGCAUUUAGGAGGCAACCAUGUCCAUCAAAGUUGACCUUUUUAUCGUUGGUGAUUAUUCUGGGUGGUGCCAUUGGGUAUGUUGUUACUGAUUAUGGUUUUACGAUAACUGCUUAUUCGUGGGCAUUUGCAUAUAUGGUGACUAUUACGACUGAGAUGGUUUAUAUUAAACACAUGGUGACUAAUCUUGGAUUGAAUACGUGGGGUUUUGUGUUGUACAACAAUUUGUUGUCCUUGAUGAUGGCUCCUCUAUUUUGGAUCAUUACUGGAGAGUAUGUUGAAGUAUUCACGGCUUUGGGAGUGAACAGGGGAAAUCUCUUUGAGCCUGUUGCGUUUCUGGCUGUAUCGUUGUCUUGUGUGUUUGGACUGCUUAUUAGUUUCUUUGGCUUUGCAGCCAGGAAGGCAAUAUCUGCUACCGCAUUUACUGUGACUGGUGUGGUGAAUAAGUUUCUGACUGUGGCUAUUAAUGUGUUGAUCUGGGAUAAGCAUGCUAGCCCAUUUGGUUUGGUCUGCUUGCUACUGACUAUUGCUGGUGGUGUCCUUUAUCAGCAAUCUGUUACCGGAGUUAGCAAUGCCCCAGUUCAACGGGAAUCUGGAGCCUCUAUGUAUUCGGAACGUAAACAAAGUGAUGAUGAUCGUAGUGCAGAUGAUGUAGAAAAGGGUAUCCAGUAAAUUUUCUGGUGUAUAAGGUAUUUUGCAGCAUUGUAUGUUGCUGAAAGUGGAAUUUAGUUUGGACUUUGAUGCAUAUUCUUUUGACUUGAAUAUUCUCAUGUACUGCAUGGUAUUAUCAUUUUUGAGAAUCAUUCUAAUUUUUCUUGUUAAUUUGGUUUAACAAUGAUCAAUUAUAUUAUCACUAUCUUGAUUUUCUGGUGAAUAUUGCAAUUUUGAACUAUCAUGUAUUUUGUUGUCGUUCAUCUGGUGACCGGAGUAUAUAUUCGAUAUUGGAAAGCUCAUAUUGCCAAAUUCGGCCAUUGUGUUUCCUUUUCUCAGACCUUUGCUUUAAGGAAGUGCAUUUGUUGUGCCGAAAAACUUCUAUUAGGCUGAUCUUCUAGUAUAUGUUUUUCUGUUUCAACAUUACCCUGUUCAAUUGCUUUAAGCAGGCCUUGGUAGCUGUAACCUUGUAAUUACCGUACAUGCGGUUUAUCUCUUACACAUUACUUUAUGAAGUGUCUUUUGUGGCUCUUCACAAAGAAGGUAAGCAGGUUUUGAUUUUAGGGUCUAUUUUUGAUAUUCAAUGAUUGGAUAUACUAUCUUUGUCCCACUCAUAGUGGUGCUAUGUGCUUUGCUUAUCUUGAUAUACACUGUUUGGCUAUCUGUAAACUUGAUUUGGAAUAAAACAUCUGGAAUACCAUCAUAUCAUAUGUUGCGAUACAACCUUUUAGCUCCUGAUCUCUUGGUACAUUUUGUUCAAGACCAUGAAAUCCACGUUUCUCCUUCCGCCCCCCUUCCUUUUUAGACCAUUAAGAUUGGCCUCUUUUCUGAAGCAUCAAUUACCUUCAGAUACUGGCCACUUCUGUUCUCUUGUUCUGCUCAAUCAGUAACUGUAUCAACUGUGCACCUUUCAACGUGCUUUCGAUCUUUUAAUAACAGUUGAUGGUCUCGAACCUUUUUUACUGUAGUCACUUGCAUCCUUUGUCUCGAAAUAGACAACCUGGUUAUAGCAACUUGGUACCAAAAUCUAUGACUUACCAAUAGAGAAGAAUUUUGAAGUUUUUCGGUUCUUUGCUUGGAGAAAAAUGUAGGGAAUGAAUGUGAGUGACAAUCACUUUCUUCCGUGUUUGUUUUACUCUUCAGAGAAAAGUACAGACUCUUUGCUUUCCCUGCUUCUCGCUCUUUCUGCAUCUUUCAUUUUCUUCCUAUCCUUGGUCGCAGUUCCAAAAAUGGUUUUGGUUUUUAGGUUAUUCAAGUGUAUGAUUUGUUUAUAGCCGUGUCAAUAAUCUUCUUGUCCCGUGGCAUAAUGUUCCCCGGAAUUUCAGAUAUCGUGAGUUUAAGCUUUUGCCAUGCUGGAAUCUGCUGUGCAGUGAUUCAACUGCAUGGAUGACUGUUGCUAUGAGAACUGGCGAGUCAAAACUUUAUUGUUCUUCGAACUGGAGGGUACGAUUGUGUGCUUCGAAGUCUAAAAUACCCUCUAUUCUGUUGAUAUAGAUAGGUGCCGGCAAGCUUAUGUUUAGACGCGAAUAUUCCAACUUCUGAAUAUUUAUUUAGGGUGGUGACUUGCGUUUUCUGUAGAUUCAUUGUCCAGAAAGAUUUUUAUGGCAACGUCCAGCUAAAGGACGACAAAAUUGUGGAAACUGCUCUGCACUUAAUGUCAAAAGGCAUCAAAUCAAAAUUUGCAUUCCUGCCUCAGCAGAAUUUGAAGAAGAAAUAAUUCUCACCUGAUAACUUGUUUCUGAAAAAUGAUUCUAUGUCGACUCUUUAAACACACUACUGUAUUUUCACUAUCUUUAUCUCAAAACAGAUUUUUGCAUCUCUUUUUUCGCGACUAAUCUUCACUCCAUAUGGGAAUUCAACUUACGCAUUGCAGUCUGCAGAUACGAGUACUGAAAGUGUGUUUUCUUGGCAUUCCAUAAAGUGUAUCAGGAUCCCGUGAAGCACAAUCUGUAUUUUGCAAAAGCAUUCACAAGCUAUUCCAGCCACGAGGACCAUCGAAACCCUACUUUAUUUUCGUUGAUGAGCCCGUGCAGGCAUUUUACUGUAUGUGUAGGUCCCCUGCUCUUCUUUUUCUGGUAGAACAGGUCCCUUGCUGUUCAACAAGCCUUCAAUCAAUUGAUCAAAAUAGUCUGAUUGGCCCUAAAGUUUGCUCUUCUUUUUUAGGUAGAGUAGGUCCCUUGCUCCUCAGCAGGCCUUCAUACAAUUGACAUUGGCCCUCAAGUUUGCAAAUUCUCAUCACUCAAUUAUUCCUCAAACAGCACAAACAUCCAUGAGACCUCGAAAUCAAAGUUUCAAUCGUGCUGCGAGGAGAGUGGUCUGACUUUUUUGGGGUUUUCUCCAAAUUAAAAUGAGAGCGAUCUAAAUUUAGCCCAAAUACGCCCUAUUGUUGAAAAGUGCUCCGUUUGGAUUUAACAGUUUUUUAAAAAAUUGUUUUUGUCUUUUAAAUUUACAGUAACUAGUAUUUUGACCCGUGCUAUGCACGGGAUUAUAUUUCAAAUCAAAAUAAUAUUGUAUAUCUUUAUAUAUUGUGGUACAGAAUAAUAAUAUAUAGACUAAAAAUUUUAAAGAAAUGUAUGCUUGACAUAUUGAAAAAAUUUUAAUUUAUAAUGAUUUAUAUGAUAGAUGAAUUGUUAACACAUUUAAGGAAAGGGUUAGGUUGGGUGGUAAGGUGAAAAGAGUUUUCUUUAAAAAAUCAAUUUAUCAGUACCUGACAAAACAUCUCAUGCUAUACCCGUAUAUCAAAACUUAUAAUAUAAAAAAAAUUAUAACCAAUUUAUUUUCUUCCAUUUUUAGAAAAAAAAAAUCUUUCUCCUAUCUUGUACCGCUAAGAUUGUUGACAGCAUUUAGAUUAGUAUUUUUCAUAAACUUUAACGUAUAUUAAAAAAAAUCUCUGUAAUAUAUGUUUUUAGAGUUCUCAAAAUUAUUAAACAUCACCAUCAUUUCCCUCUUCUCUUAUCUGCCGGCUAGUCAUGAGAUACCUCCUAGAAUUUCAUAUUUUCUAUCAUGGUACCACUCUCUUUAUUGUUUUUUUUUUUUGUCAUAUCUGUCAUAUCCCGACAAUUCCCUUUUUUCUUCUCUCCUUUUUCUACCCAUCCUUAUAACCCACAUUUUUUUUUUCAAUCUUUCUCGCCACUUUUCAACUCUUCACCAUUUUUUUCCUCCAUCUUCCCCCCAUACCCAAUCUCUAAAUUCGUAUCCUUGCGACCCAAUAUAUUUAACUUUAUCUAUCAUAAUGAAAAUAUAAAAUUGAAAAUUGAUUACAAUGGUUGCAAUUAUUAGUAUCUAAAAAUGAAAAUGAAAACUAAUAAUAUCUAUAAUAUCCUCAAGUACUACAACCAAUAUAUAUAUGUUUAAUAUAGAAAAUACAUAUUUUUAUAUGAAGACAACAAUAAAAAUACAUAAAAUAAUUAAUGAUACCAAAAGUUAUCCUUAGUGUUUGGGUUUUGCACUCUUAUUCAAGUCUAAAGGGUCAAAUUUGGGCCAGAUAUAUACAAAUUAAGUAGUAUUUUAGGGUCGAAUGUUCUAUGUUUUUCUCUUAAACUAUAAUGUUACUUUUUAAAUUUUUUUGGUAGAAUUGGUGUUGUUGUUAUCAUUAUUUUUUAUCAAAAAUGAAUAUUUAAAAAAAAAUUUCCAAGUUAAAAGGCCAGUACCACUUUGUUUUUUAUUUAGUAAUUUUAUGAAUGGUACAAUUCUUGAUUUUUUAAAUCCUUCUUUUUUGUUUUCUAUUUAAUUUUGCUCUUUUACUUAGCAUUACUAAGUUAAAAGAUAAAGUAUUAUCAUUUACUUUUUUACUUUUACUAAGUUUGGUAAUAUUUUCUCUUUAUUUACCCUCCACUAAUAAACUUCAAAUCAACUUCCUAUAUAAGUGGAGCCACUUCUUACUUAUUUAAAUUAGAAAGGCGUGGAAGCCACUUUUUAUUUAGGAAAAUGUUAUUUGCACUAAAAUUUUUAUUAUUUGCAAUUCCACCAUUUAUUUUAUCAUAUUGUCUAAUUAAUGAAAACUAUAUGAUCAAAAUGAUUAUUGAAGUGUGAAUAACAAAAUGGAGUAUAAAUAAUCUCACUUAUUUAAAUUAAAAAGAAAGUAUGAAAGGAUAUUAUGUUUGUUAUCUCUUGUUAUGGUCUUAUGGAAGUUUUAAUUGGAGUAGAAUCAUUAAUAACGCAAGACAAUUGAAAACGUGAUAGGUUGAAGUUCCAAUAUGAUAUCAUACACGUUAACCAACAGUUUGAAAUGAAAUGAUUUUAAAAAGUAACUAACAAUUUCAAAUGUGAAAAGUAGAUGUAGAAGUUAAGAGAAAUAUAUUUUAUAAAUUAAAUUAAAUGUGACAUGCUAGAAAAAUAGAAUUGGUAGUGGGAAGAUAUGUGGAGGUUUGUUGCUAAAAAUCCCUUUUCAAAUUUAUAUAGAUAUAGAUAAAUUCUAAAAACAACUCAAAAAAUACAAUACAUCUCAAAUAUAUUACUAAAAAAAUUUUUUCUUUCUUCUUUCACACACUAUCCACCACCAUCACCCAUCACCCUUCACUACCACCGUCAUCACCCCUACACCCAAGACCAUUCCUCCUUUCUCCUCCUCUUCCUCUCUUCUUUUCUUCUUUCUCUCCCUUCUCCUUCCACCCUUCUCUCUUCCCUUUCCUUGCCCCCCAAUCCCCCUUUCUCUCCACUGACCACGACCUUCCUGGCUGCGACCGGAACCUUUCUACUUGUGACUGGAGUUGUAACCACCACAUACGAGUGGGAGAGGAAUUUGGGAGCGGAGAAAAGGAGGGGAGGGAGGAGGAGGGAGAGAAAUGAGAGAGGAGGAGCAGAGGGAGAGAGAGGAGAGAGGGGUGGUGGCAAUGGGUUGUGUGAAAUUAAAAAAAAAUACCCCAAAAAGUUGUAAAUUAUAAAAAUAAACUAAAAUAUAUUUUAAAAACUCUUAAAAAUAUUUACAGUGAAAAUUUUUCAUAUAUAUAAAAACAAUAAAGUUUCUGAAAAAUAUCUCGAAAAAUAACUAAUCCAAACUAUUGUAUUUUGCCUGCGUCAAAUACAUUAGUAAACAGUAACAGAGGUCAUAGUUCAAUUCUGUCUGAUUAGUUCUCCAUUAUCCACUUCUUUAAAGCAAAGCCACUAGAAGAGCGUCAACAUCAAAGGAAGCCUCCCAUCCUCCGUAGCACCUCCACCAUGAAUGAUCCGUCCAACCUUGUUUAUAUAUGAAAAAAGAUACCAACAACUGCUCUAGGAUUUCACUUAUUUUAGUUACUUUGCCCGACUCAUCAAUCUCCACCAAUCAAUUUCGUCAACCCCUUCUGUCUUGUUUAAAUCGCAUGCCUUCUAGUUUUCUCCAAACUGUGACCAUUAAAUCAGCAUCAGCCAUCAGGUGCCUUGUAAGCACAACUUGUCUUUUCCUUGGUGACGUUAAUUUGCUAUAAAUCUAAGCCAUUAUGCAUGUAGUUAAAAAGCAUGUUUACUUAAACAAUUUGGUAAAUCCAAGUUGACUAUCACAAUAUAAAUGAAAGCAUCCUCCUCUAGAACUUGAACUUCUGCACAGAAGCAAAACCCAGCAGCCCAGAUUGUCUCUCCUUUUAGUUAUGGAGGGUUAUCGGAGUUUGACCACGAAUGCCAUCGGUUUUUGUCUACUCCCAUCGGAACUCAUACAGUACAUAAUUCUCCGGUUGGCUUUACCUGAUAUUGUCCGAUUAAAAUCGGUCAACAAAUCCAUCUCAUCGAUGAUCUCGGACCAAGACUUUGUCCGAGACUAUAAUCUCCAUUCCAGCUCCGCCACCUGGCUAUUUAUAUACAAAAAGAGAUGGCAUCGGGAUUCCAUGCUUCAGGGCUACACCAAUUGUUCCAAUCGAUGGUUCAAGAUUCUGAUUUCUGAUAUGUUGAAGUCAGUGGCUCCACCAGGGGAGGACCUGUACUUGCUGACGGCAUCGGGUAAUAUUUUUCUGUUUGCCUUGAAUAACCGCCUGGAAGUUAUUUCAGUUAACCCCAUGUCCAAAACGGUUAAGAAAAUCCCCCCAAGUCCAUUAGGUCCACGGGGCACGUCAUCCUGGCGACGAUCGGGCAUCAAAUUACUAUCUGGCCCCCCAGGUUCAGAUCAUUUUCGAUUUUUAUUCGCAGAAAUGCGGGAAAAUCAACCAAUUCUAUUCGAGUAUGAUUCCAGAAGCAAUGAGUGGAGCUCCACUGAAGCAGGAGAAAAUGUUGUCAGUGCCGAAACAGGGAGAGAUUACGGUACCAUUUAUCUGAGCGCAUACAAUGGAACCAGUGGAAGUGUGAUCAUUGCCAAAGGCAAAGGGACUGCCGACCAAGAUGAACGUGACGCGGCCGCGGUUGUACGGCCAAGAUUUGUGGGAUGGGGAGGAAAUGAAGGGGGACAGCUAGCUGUUGGAUUUAGCUGGGGAAAUGCGAUUGAUCGGCUAUACGUGUACGGCGAUGGGAAGGCGAUGAUCGUGAGAUCCGACGGCGUUGAAGAUGGGAAUAGCAGGGUGAUGAGGAUGUUGAAUGGGUUAGAGCUGUGGGGGCUGAGCUCAAGUGGGGGGCAUUGGGAACUGAUAUCAACGGUUCCGAAUGAACUGGUUGAGAAAAUUAGGAAGCCUUAUGGGGCUAUGAUGGGGUGUUUGGAGCAAAGGCUGGGAGUUGUCAGAGCCAUCCUGAUGUCCAACUUGGAGGGCGUAUGGGACAUUGUGUGGCUAUGUUAUGAAUUAGAAAGCAGGAUUUGGAAUUGGGUUCCAAUUCCGGAUUGCAAAAUGAAGGGUGCCAACAUGGCCGGAAUUGCCUUUUCUUCUGGCCUCACACUGAAGUAAAGUAGCACUAAAUUGAUCCAAGUACGCUCCCGAUUGGUUGUUAGUAGUAACUAUUUCAUUUUUUGUUGAAAGUUUGCUGUGACCGCAAGUUAUCCAUUGGAUGAUCGCAACCAUUUGUUGUUGUUGUUGUUGUUGUUGCUGUUGCUGUUGGUGUAUUGUUCCAGCUCAGCUAUGGAAUGUAAUUAUCACAUUUUUCUUCUUGGCAAAGUAUUUGUUCUUUACGAUCCAUGUAUUGAUUAGUAUGGUAUGAGAGCUAACAUAAGCGUCCCCAUAUUCUUUCCCAAAUUCUCUUUUUUCUUUGAAGCAUUUUCCCACAUUCGAACUUCUUUUAUGAGGAAUGGAAAUAAAAAUGGACCAUCAGAUCAGCAUAAAAGCGUAAAAUGGGAGACUGAAGCCCACAAAGAGCUCGCUAUUCCAUGAGAUCAUAUUGGGCUGAAAAAAGCAAGAGAAAAGCACAGGAAUGCCCAAUCCAUAACGGAUUUCAGAUUUCUCAUGGUGACUGAAUGCUAGAAAGAAGCCAGCAAUAUGAGUCACAUUACAAGGCAACUGUUCAAGGAAAUGAUAAAACUUGUUACUCUUUUGAAAAUUGACAUCUACCCUUUUUACCAAAGUCUAAAGACUUUUACGGUAGUUUACUAACCGUAAUCCACAGAAAAUCACAAAAGUCGGUAAUUUAUGUGGUUCAUGAGGAGACUAAUAUCCUAACCUCAAACCCCUCUAGACACCGAUGUGGGACUUGACUAGCCUAUGCAGCUUAGCUGCUACUAAGGAAUAAAGACCCCCUAUUAAAGUCGGUAUGGCCAGUCUGUCUUUUUUACUAAAGUCUAAAGAUUUUUACGAUAGUUUACUAACCUUAAUCCACAGAAGCUAAAGCGGUAUGACAUCUACCUGAACCCCCAAAAACCAAAAAGGAAGCACAACUAUUAGUACUACAGUGGUGCGUCGAGUUACCGACAGUAAAAGUAAGCGGACUAACGCACGAGAUUGCAGACUGUUGUUGGAGGAUAUGUUUAUGCCCGCCGGGGAACGGGAAAGAUGCCUCCUUGUUGAACAGUGGAAUUCCAAAAGCUGCCACAGUCUGACCUCUGUCAUAUUGAUUUUUUUUUAAAGUUUUCCUUGGGUAAAGCAAAUCUUCAUUAAGAAAGAAAGAAAGCAUAACAACAAAAAAAAAAAAAAAAAAAAAGGAAGAGUACCGUGCUGCAGCUCUCCUAUCCCACAUCGAAAGAUCAUGGGGUCUUUAUCCUGGAUUUAAGGUUCAUGGGGGCAUUCUCCUGUCAUUAAUUGACUAGAUGGAUGUUUCUCGUGAGUCUCACCUUAGAUUGCUCGUUUGGGCCGGUGUGUUUGGUGUUACUUUUGCAUUUAAUAUAAUUUUAAGAAUCUCGAACUCGAGGUUGAGUUCGAUGAGUUCAAAUUAUCAAGUUCAACCUCAAGUUUAAAAAAAUAUUAAAAAUAUUAUUUUAUUUAUUUUUAAUAAAUAAAAUAAUAUUUUUUAAAAUAAAUAAUAAAAUGUUAUAUAUAUUAUUAUAUUAUAUAUAUAUAUAUAUAUAUAUAUAUAUAUAUAUAUAUAAGCAAUCGAAUUUGAGUCGACUUGCGAGCUAACAAGUUAGUAUUUUUGAAUUUUUUUAAUAAAUAAUAAAAUAUUAUAUAUAUAUAUGUGUGUGCCCGCAAUCGAAUUUUAGCCAACUUGCGAGCUAACAAGUUAGUAUUUUUGAAUUUUUUUAAUAAACAAUAAAAUAUUAUAUAUAUAUAUAUAUAUAUAUUGAAUUUGAGCCAACUUACGAGUUAACGAAUUAGUAUUUUUAAACUCAAAUUUGACUUGAUCAGUUCGAAUUCGACUCGAGUUCAAUAUUGACCGAACUCGAGUCGUUCGUGAUCGAACUCGAUUUGUUUACAACCUUAAAUGAGAUAGUAGUUAAUCUUUAAAGUAAGAGACUAAGAGACAUAAUUGAGCAUUAAGAAACUGAGAAAAGGAAUCAACUUAUCUCCCAAUUCAGUGGCUAUGAGGCCAUCAUGAGUCUAUGGCAACCAAAAAAGGAAGGAAAAUAUUUUAAACAAAAGAUGCAGACGUUUAGAGGCUAUAGUAGCUAAUCAAGAUUUAAUCAACAAUGAGGCCUUUUUUGGAGCUAUCUAACUCGAAAUUUGUUUAUCCCCUUGCAAAAUGGAGAUCUUCCUUUUGAGAAGUCGUCUCGAAUAUUUGCCUCGUGUACGUUCCUCAACAUCAACUUUGUCCCUUCAAAGGCUCCAACGGCAAUAGUGCUGCCCUAGCUUUACCCGUGAUGGCUACCUUACUCCGUGUGUUCCUUUCUCCAGCCUUUUCUUUUUCUUUUUCUUUUUGUGGGUAGCAUCCUUACUCCGGCAUUCGUUGUUGUGGCUAAUUGCCUAAUAAUCAAAGCUCUCUUUGGAAAGUGAGUUUUUUUUUGGUCAAAAUUUUCUUCAAUAAGUAUUUUAACAACUUUUAUUACAAUAAACUUAAAAAAUUUUCAAAAUAUGCACAUCAAAAUGCUAAAAGAAAAAACACAAAAAAAAUUCCUUCUUUCCUUUCUUUUUAUUCCUCCCUUCAAUCUCAACCCACCACCACCUCCGCCACUAAUAGACGCCUCCACUGAUGCCAGUGCCGACUUUUUCUUUGUUUUGUCCCCUUUUUUUCCUCUCUCUCUCUCUCUCCUCCCUUCCUCCCCUCCUCCUCUCUUCCCCUUCCUCCCCUCCUUCCUUUUCUCCCGCCACCUUCUUCACCCUGCCAACCACAGUGGACAAUGGGAAGUUAGGGAGGAGAAAAAGAGGCAAGAAAAGCAAAAGGAAAGAGAAAAAGAAAAGACAAAUGAAAAAGGGUUAUUAUUACUUUACCCCCUUAACGUUAGAUAUCACUAUUAAUUUCUCCCUUAACAUUAUCUUUUAGUCACUUUAUCCUCAAUACUAACGAUCAAUUUUAACGGAGUUUGUUAAUUAAAGUGAAAAGACAAGUUUAGCCCUUAAAGUUAUUAUCACUUUACCUCCAUAAAUUAUGGCCUCAUUAUCAAUUUACUCAUAAAAUUUUUUUAGAUAAUUUAUCCUACCAUUAAACCAAUUUAGCAAGUUAAAAAACUUUAGAAGAAAGUACUCUCCUCUUUGUAUAAUAAAAAUAAUAAAAAAUUUAGUGUGACUCUUCUCCUCUUUAGUAUCAAGAAAAAAAGUCAAAAUAUUAAUUUCUUUCUUCUUGACAAUCUUAUUAAUAUUAAAAAAAAAAGAAAGAUGGUGAGGGAGAGAGAGAGAGAGAUAGAGAGAGAGCUCAAUUCCUUUUUUUUUUAAAAAAAAAAACAAAUAAGAAAGAAUUAAAUGCUUUUAUUAUUUUAAAAUUAUUUCACUUUACUGUUUACCAUCAGAUUUCAAUUCCAAUCUCAAUAGUCUUAAAUUAAUACAAUAAUAUUAGACUUUUCUUUAUUGUUUCUUUGCACAAUCUAAUUUUCUGCCUCAUUCUUUCCUAUUUCUUUUUCUUUUCCUAGUAUUAAUAAGUGUGAAAAAAGAAAUUUGAGAAAAUCUUUUUAUUUUUAUAUUUUUGAAUCUCUUAAAGUGAAAAAAAGAAGAAUAAUCAUUCCAACUUUUUAUUUUUAAUUAUAUAUAUAAGGGUAAAUAUAUUUAAAAUUUUUUUACCAUACUAGUUAGAUUAACGAUGAAGUAAGAUGCCUAGAAAUAAUGUUAAGAAUUAAAACAAUUAUAUCACUAUAAUUUAAAGAAAUAAAGUAAUAAUAACAAUGUAGUAAUGCUAUAGAAUAAAAGGGUAUUUUUGUCCAAAAUUUCUUAAUAUGUUGAAUUGAAUUAUUUAUGGGGGUGAUGUGACUCAAAAAUAACGUUAGGGGGUAAACUGAUAGUAGUGAUAUAGUUUAAGGGAUAAAAUGAUAAUAACCCAAUGAAAAAAGGAAAGUUUUUACACACAUUAGAAUUUUUUUUUUUUACAAAUUUUACAAUAAGUUAUAUUAAAUUUUUUUUUCCAAAGAGAGAGAAAGUUCAAUCCAGUUUUUACCGCUUGGCUCAAUUUACAUACGCGAUGUACCAUACGCAAAACUCAAACUUGUAUAGCGUCUGCCGACUCUCGCCGCAUCUUCAGCUAGACAAAAAUCAUACAUACAUGUAAAGAAAAGUGCACGUCAAUUCUGGACAUAUAUAAUUACUCUUAUAUCACAUGCACAGUCAAGUGUGUCAUUUGUGGUGUGUUAAAUGGAUCGAUCCCCUGUCUCCUUGUACUUCUCACAUGGAAGAUGCAUCUAAAAAUCUGCAGGCUGUAAAUGUAAUUACCCAUAUUUACCAUUCAUGAUUUAAAAUUUUUGUAAGAGAGUUUUUUUCGGAAAUAAUUGUACAUCACAAUACUGUGUACUCACUAAAAAAUGUUAACCCUAGUCUGUAGAAACCAAUGUCCCAGUCUCAUCACUCAUCAUCAAAGAUGUGUAUAACAGCACUAAUAUUCAAUAAAUACUCGUAUUAUAUCUAUAUAAGACACGUUUAUAUGCAUUAUUCAAAAAAAUUUAUAUUUUAUACAUUUAAAAAAAAUAAAUUUUAUAUACAGUAAACAUAUAUAUAUAUAUAUAUAUAUAUAUAUAUACUAUUACGAUAAGAGGAAUGAUUCAUUGCAAUUUUUCAAUGAUAGUUCUUACAAAAAAAAAAAAAGAAAAAGAAAAGGGUAUGCAUAUACGUGAUAGACAAGUGUCAACUAUAAUGACGGGGCGGGCAGACACUACUGGCAAUAUCUAGGGGUGGAGCUGAUUCAAGCUACUCGACUAGAGCUCGAUAUGUACUCGAUCAGAAACUCGAGCUCGAGCUCGAGCUCGAUCUCGAGCUGCUCGUUAGAGCUAUCGAGUCGAGAUCGAGCUCAGAAAUUUGAUACUCGAGAGUUCGACGAGUUCUAUCGAGUAUCACAUAAAAAAUAAAAAAAAAUUUAAAAAAAUUAUAUAUAAAAUUACUAAUAUAGGUAAAUAAAUUCUGAGAAAUUACCGGUGAGUACCCUUAUCGAGUCGAGCUCGAGCUUUUUAAGGACUCGAUCGAACUCGAGCUCGAGCUGUGAUUCUCCGACUCGAUCGAGCUCGAGUUCGAACAUAAUUAUAUUAUAGCCGAGUCGAGCUCAAGUAUAGCGGUAUUCGAGCUCGACUGGCUCGAAUACACCCCUAGCAAUAUCUGUUCUGGACUAAAACUGUGAAGCAUAACAUGCGUUCUUGGGGAGAAUGAAUAUGGUCCCCAGAUUCCCAAAUUCCCGUGCCCGCCUUUCAGUGCCACACAAACUCCCAACUGCCUGACUCCACCUCCAUCCUCAGAGCAAGGCUAUCUACCUAGGUGUCAUAUAUCUACGCAUUUAUUUAUUGGGUUGCAAUCACGCUAGUAGAAAAUCGUGCCUUUUGGGCAUCGUGAUUUCUGAUGGUCCAUUUUUCCAUAUUUACCAUGCUAGUAUAAAUAAAUAUUCACCGCGGACCAUCAUUCCAAUUGAUCUUGAGUGCAUUCUCAGUUCUUCGACGCAGAGUACUUGUCUGGAGCACUUUUAUUUCAGAAUUCAUCGCGGUGAAAUUGUGCCGAAUGUUUUAGAAUUGUUUUUCUUGCCUCGAAACAGCACAUUAUGUUCUAGUGAGCAAUUUCAUUAGUUUUAUCCUAUACAGUAUUGUUCGUUCGGAACUAGUACGAACGUGUUUACUAUUGACUAUCGAGAAGGAAAAAAGCCACAAAAAAAAAAAAAAGGAAGUUUCGUCCGAGAAAGGUCCAAUCUCUUCCGUUAAUUUUUCUCCUUGGAAAUUGAUAAUAGGAGUUGAAAUUCGUUGAAUCAUGAUCAGAUAUCGGACAGGCCAUGUUUCGUGGAAAAAUCUCUCACAUAUGUCUAUGGCAGAAUUGGAAUCCAUACUCUCAGAUUUUAGAUUUCAGCUGAAUGAUUAAGACUUUGAAGCUCAGAAAAGGAGGGCUGCAUACCGAGCCACGAGCCCAUCAAAACAUCGAUACGAUUUGCGUAGCAUCAUUUUCUGCUUCAGAAAGUUGAGAGAGACACUUCUGCUGGUUGGGGAAAAGAAAAAAAAUUACUACUACAUUAACUUAGUGGAUCAAUUCAGCAUAACCAAUACCUUAAGCACAAUUGAUGGUCCCUUUCCCUUAAAUCCACAAUGAAUUAAACCACGUCCAACCACACCACGCACUUUUCCCGUCCCAGAAUCACCCCUCCUGGGCUGCAUUGUAUCUUAUAUAUAUAUAUAUAUACACCAUAAAGCUAUGUAAUAGAAAAAUCUUCAUCUGAUCUAAUGACUCGAUCUUAACGUACGUCGGCUUGUCACAACCUUCGAAGUUUGCCAUGCAUAAAAUACAGCACCAUAAUACCACUAGUCUAUUUUCCAGAUUGCUAGCACCAUGAAGCGAAAUAAUAAAGGGUGAGAUUUCUUCAAUAAAUUAAAAUUCCUUAAUACGGUAUUGUCAAAUAAAUAUCAACAUGUUUUAGUUUGAUCUGGAUGCGCACAUCUCUAUUAAUCCAUUUUCGUCUUUCCGCUCUACAGCUUCAGGAAAAAUUUUUGACUAUGCUUUUUUCUUUUUUACACUCAUAGUCUUUGUUCUAAUUUUUGUCUUUCCUUCCUCCAACAUCUCCCCCCCCCCCCCCCAAAAUGCUCUAGAAAGGAGAUUGUAAAUAGUCACGACUCACAAGCCAAAACCUAUAUACAUAUUCCUCAGUCACCGUGCUUCCGUUGCCGGCAAUCUGGCAUGUGUCAUGUGGUUAGGUAUAUUCCCUCUACGGGAAGGGAAAGGCGCUUGUAAGGUUUAUUAAUAUUUCGACAGAGAGCCUGUUGAGAUGUCUUCUAUGCAUGAGCGGACCACAUUCCCUUUCCAGAGUUUUUUAUUUAUUCAAUAUAUUCAAAAUAUUCUGUGACUAACAUUUUUCUUUCUUUUCUUUUUUUCAUAAACAGUAGUGUUUGCUGUGAUUUAUAACUUGGCAGAGUUAGAAGAAAUUUUCUGAUAUUAGGAAAGGAUCUUUGGAGAAUGGAAAUCUUGUUAUGGGGCAAUGGAUUAGGUUCUUUUUUUUUUUUUUUUUCUGUUAUUGUGGUUCGUGAACUGUUAACUAGCUUGACAAUAAAACAAUACGAUGAGUAUGCCAGUGCCAGAUUACAUCACCACUGAUAAUUAGUACUAGUAUUUGUUAGCUGCUACAGCAUUAUAUUUUGUCCAUGAGGAACAUAAAUUGGACUUCUUUAUGAUGGCGUUGAUCCCAGUACUUCUGUUUUCCAGCGCAAUCUGGACCAUCAGUUGCCAUUUUCGGCUCAUCGUCCUCUUGGAGCAGUUAAUGUUGUUUCAGGGUCAUUUUCCCUGGAUUAUUUGUGGCAAUAUAAGGUCAUUUGUCAUUGUCAAAAGCAUUAUUAAACUCCUUUUUUAAGAAGAAUAGUUGGCCAACAUGAUGAUAUCCCUAUCAGAUAAUUUCUGCCCCAAUUCUUACAUCCUUAUCUUACUGCAUUUUCUGUUUCCUAGUUUAAUACAUGUUAAUAUAUGUUACCACAACAAGUGUGAUUGAUCAAAUGCACGUCCUUGUUGUGUAGCAAGUACUAUUUUAAAGUUGAGUUCAUUUAUCAUAGGUCAAUGUCUUGAGAGAGAGAGAAAGAUUAUCUCUCUCUUUUUUUUGUGUUGUUUUUUGUUGGGGAGGGGGGGGGGGAAGGAGAGAGCGAUCCUGCUCGGAUAUGGUAGCUUGUUAUCUUUGCCAUUUUCUCUUUUGUUUGCUGGUUGUUGGUAAUAUGAUCAGGAUUCAUAUUUUAGCAAGAGAGCUAAAAACAUACAGAUAGCUAGAUUGAUGAUUUGAGUCGACUACAGCUGCAUAUAACGUCUUCAAUAACUAACCUUCGUGCAUAAUUUUGGUCAAAAGUUAAACAAAGGGAGAAAAUCUUUACUAGUCUUGUGGGUGUGAUAAUGUUCAUUAUAUAUAAUGGAAGUUAAUAUAUAUAAUGUCCAUUAUAUAUAUAUAUAAUGGAAGUUAUAUUUAGCUCUAGAACUGGUUUUUCAAAUCAUUUGCGGAAUACGUAGACUACUGUAUUACAUCCUUAAAUAAAUAUGCGAGCUAGAUGGCAGAAAGCUACCGUCUUUUCUAAUAAUGAAGAGUCAUGAAGUGCAAGCAAACCUUGGCUUGCUACGCAACCUGAUAUUCUAACUGCAAACUACUCUCUCAUUUUCCUAAAUAGUACGUGUUUUUUUUUCCUGCCAGACUCUAUGGCGUAGUCACAUAUAUAAUUAAGCACUUAAGGCCAUUUGGCUUGACACAAUUAACGCACUUCUUCCCAGAAAGUUAAAACUUAAACAUCCAUAAUGCAGGAAUAGGGUUGUUAUUUUGGGGUUGCUCCAAAGUCAUACAGAAAGUGACAUUCCCCUUUCCAGUUUUCUCUUCUUUGGAAGCUUGAAAUGACAGCAAGAAUGUGGCUUGAAAAGGAACAGUGAAAACGCCAGGAACAAAUGGCACUAAUCCAACUCCAAGGCACGAAAAUUUGCGAUUCAGAAACAACAGUACAUGUCAGUCAAUGAUAAAAAAUUACUUGGAAAUAUCAGCUUCAAGGUCUUUAUCAAGCUACAGUUGAGGCUGGAGUCCAUUCUUGAUGAAAUCAAUUGAGACUACAAAAUGGUCCCUCACACACACUCCACCCUACUCCUCUUUGAACAAUCAUAAUCGUCUAAUUAAUUAGAGUCGUGAGUGAAGCAACCACCCCUUGAAGUGAAGUCAGCUCAAAUCCUUUUGCUAUCCUUUCUUUCUUAAUUAGUUUUAUUUUUCUCCUUCUUAAUUAGUGUGUAAUCAAUAUAAUUUGUGGGUGGAGUAUUUCAUUUCCCAUUUCAAUAUAAAAAAAACGCUCCACAUAUCUUUCAUUCAAGAAAGGGUUAUCUUCAAUUGAAUUAAAUGAAGACAGGCAGUAGCACUACUUAACUUAAUCCUUUCUUGCAUCCUCCAUUCAUAUCAGUAUAUUACUACAAGACUGCUGUCGCUCCGAACGUCCAAAACCCUUUCUUUUCUUCUUCAAAAAAGCCUCCUCACCCAUAACUCCCACUCUUCCCACACCCCUGCACACACACACACACAGAGGGUCGCACAGUAAUACACGAUACGAGGAAAAAAGGCAUGUUCCACCCAGUCCAUCUACUGGGGCAGAAGCCCUACCCUUCCUCCGCGGCAUUAUAAGCCCCAACCAAGGAAAAAACAAGAAAGGGAGACGAAAUAAAAAAAUACGACUACUUCAUAAGAGAUACCAAAAUGGGCCCAGAAGGAUCCUCCAUAACCAGCAGCAGUGGCAGCUCGUCAUCAUGCUCCGCGGCCGCCAGAGCACCUGAUCAUCACCAUCAUCAUCAGAUCGACCAGCUUCUGGCCGGAGCUGGGUACUCGGUCCGCUCCUCCCAGCUCCACCAAGUGGCCCACCGCCUCGAAUGUCUGGAGAGUGUCAUGGUCCACAACCAGAACAUCCCCACCCACCUCCCCCUACAAUAUCAUCUGGCCAACGACGUCGUGCACUACAAUCCCUCUGACCUCUCUUCAUGGGUCGACAAUUUGCUGUCGGAGCUCCACCAACUCCAACCCGGUUCAUCAGCAUCAUCUUCAGGUCUCCCGCCGUGUCCUGGUAAUUAUGAAUCCACCGGGUGGUCUCCGUCUGAAUUCCAUGCGCCGCCGCCUCCUCGGAACGGGAACGGGAACGAGAGCGAGAAUCAGCAGCCCCAGGAGGCUCUAUCCCAUGUCUUGCACCAAAUGGACCAGGAAGAUUCCAGCAUUCAGUUAGUCCACGUGUUGAUUAGCUGUGCGGAGUCUGUCCAGUGUGGCAACCUCCCGUUGGCUGGUUCCUUGAUAGCAGAUUUACAGGCGCUGCUUACACGUGUCAACACUGCAUGUGGUAUUGGAAAAGUGGCUGGCUAUUUCAUCGACGCCCUGAGCCGCCGGAUAUUCACGGCGGUGCCUCCAGGAGCCGCCAGCUUCAUGAGCUGCUGGGCAUCUGAGGAUGAGAUUCUGUAUCAUCAUUUCUACGAAGCGGCUCCUUACUUAAAAUUUGCUCAUUUCACGGCCAACCAGGCGAUAUUGGAAGCCUUUCAGGGCCACGAUUGCGUCCAUGUCGUUGACUUUAAUCUAAUGCAAGGCUUGCAAUGGCCGGCUCUAAUCCAAGCCUUGGCUCUCCGCCCCGGUGGGCCGCCGUUGCUACGGCUGACUGGGAUUGGCCCGCCAUCUCCUGAUGGGCGCGAUUCUCUAUGCGUAAUUGGGUUGAGAUUAGCCGGAUUGGCUCGCUCGGUGAACGUCAAGUUUGCCUUUCGUGGGGUGGCAGCUUCGCGGCUUGAAGAUGUCAAGCCAUGGAUGUUAGAAGCCGACCCGAAUGAAGCGGUUGCGGUAAAUUCGAUCCUGCAGCUCCACAAACUACUCGGGCCGGAUCAAGUUCAUGGAUCAUCAUCAGUGGAACAGGUUCUGGCCUGGAUCCGGGGCUUGAACCCGAAAAUCGUGACCAUCGUGGAGCAAGAAGCUAGUCACAACCAAGCCGAAUUUUUAGAUCGAUUUACUGAAGCCCUGUACUAUUAUUCAACGAUGUUUGACUCGCUGGAAGCUUGUUCAAAUCGGGCUGAUAAUGUUUUAGCCGAGAUAUACAUGCAAAAAGAGAUAUGUAACAUAGUGUGUUGUGAGGAUUCAGCCCGGGUGGAAAGACACGAGCCAUUAGCCAAAUGGAAAGCUCGACUGAAGGGGGCUGGCUUCAAGCCACUGUAUUUGGGAUCCAACGCAUUUAAGCAAGCCAGUAUGCUAUUGACAUUAUUUUCAGCUGAGGGAUUCUGUAUAGAAGAAAGUGAGGGGUGUCUAACGCUGGGCUGGCAUAGCCGGCCCCUCAUUGCAGCUUCGGCUUGGCAACCGGUAUCUGACUGAGCAGGAAGCUGUAUAAACUUUGAGACGAGUUCAAAUUCAAUUAGUCAUUUUUUUUUUUACUUGAGACGGGAUCAAAUUCAAUUAAUCCUUUAUUAAAGAUUGUAAUUGUCUAGGCCUUAAUAUUAUUAUCUUUAAAAUAUUAUUGAAGCUUCGGAGACAUGGCCGUGUCCGCAAGCGCAUUCAAAAGUCCAGAUAGCGAGCUUAAUUUCGGGCCUUUAAUUUUACUCCGUCUUAACUUGCGGAACAAUCACCACGGGUGGCCACUUCAAAGUAUCAUAUCCAACAUAACACGUUGUCGACCCUCUCAUUAGGAUUAAUCAUAAUUGGGACAUGGAGUAGGAUGUUCAUCGGCCCAUAAUUAGAAAUUUGAUUAAAAAAAAUUUUCAGAAAUUCGGUAAUCAGUUUGUCAAGAUCAAUAUUCGAUUAUUGUUCAAAUUUUAGUUUGAUAAAUAGGAUAUUGAUAAUUCAAUUUUGGUUGAAAAAUCAGUUAUUCGGUAAUGUUCAAAAUUCGAAAUGCUAAUAAUAAGUUAAACUAUUUCAAUUUUUUUUAAAAAAAAAUUACAUCAAAAUAAUAUUCCAUAUGUAAUUUCCGACAAAAUUAAAUAAAAAAAAAAUCAGCACAUCAAUCAUCACCUCAUCAUUACGUUAAAGAAACAAAAAAAUAGCAAGUCAACAUGGCAACUUGCCAUUUCCACUGUCCAAACUCCAACCAAUUCCGUUACGCAGUGAACCUACUCAAAUGUCAAACAGUUAGUAGUUAGUACUCAGUAGUCAAAGAGUCAAUAGUUCAAUAAAUAUGUGUAAGAUAUUUACUAAGAUAAAAUAUGUGUGGGGAGGAAGAAGAAGAAAGAGGAACGAAAGGGGAAAAAAAAGAAGAAGAAAAGGGAAAAAAAGAGAAAAUUUUCAAAAGCUUUUCUACCAAUCCUAUGGUAAGUCACACUAAAAUUUAAUACAAAUACUUAAAAAAUCAGCCUUUCAAGCACACCCAACGAUUUAGGAUCAAUCUAGUGGUCAGUUAGGGUCUUUCCUACCAUCAAAUUCAAGGUUCGAAUUAUGGGAAGGGACGUAAGAGUGAAAAAAAAAAAGAAAUAACAAAGACUUAAUUGAUGUCUAUUGAUUCUCUAAUACUAUGAUUUAAAAGUCCAUUAAAACCUUAAAGCAUUCAUGUUAAAAAUUCCCUUGCCUCAAAACAAAAUCGGAAUUAAAAUUAAAAAAUAAACCACUGGAAACUUUUUUACGAGGACAUCUAUACUAUAUACUACUAGUGUUAAGGGUGCACUCAAUGUGGAUGCAGUUUAGAAAUAAUUAUUAAUUUUUAUGAAUAUAUUAAUUUUGUUUUUAUAAAAUUAAUUUUUAUAUUCUUCGUGAAAAAAAUUGCAAUUUAUUAGUAAUUUUUUCUUUAAUACAGUUAUAGUUAGUUUUGUAGUUAUAAUAUUUAAGAGAGUUGUGAGAGAUUAUAUUAGCAAAUGUCAUUAUGUGGUUGGAGUAAAAAUUAAUUUUUUUAAAGAUAAAAUUGAAAGUUCAAAAAAUGACACUACUUCUCUCCCUUUAUUAUUGUAUAGAUAUCCUAUUUAUAAAGAAUGAUGGAGGAGUUGGUGUAAACUUUUUGUGUCAUUUUUUUACAAUUCCUGCUUAACUCUCCAAAUAAAGGGUAAAAUGGUACUGUCAUCUCCUAAACUAAACACACACAAGCACAUACUUACACCUCCAUAUUUCUAGUUUAACAUAACUUCCAAUAAAGCAAUAACUGUCAACAACUUCCUACCAAAUAAAAAAAGACCACAAUUUUUCUAUCCAUAUUUCUGAAAAAAAAAUACAACAACUACUAAAAAUUUUAAUAAUUUUUUCUUUUAAAAAAAUUUCCUUCUAGAUUUACACACACAUAGAGUGUGCCAUUCGCACUAGUACAUAUAAGACUCUGAGCUUUAGAUCACUAAACUUUACUUGUUUGAGGGGUAAAUCGAUACCUUUUUUAGUUUGAAAUUGAAAUAUCCAAUCGCAGAACUGUAAGUAUUAAUUUCCUAGAAAUCCAACUUGUCGUGUUUUCGGUUAAAAAAUGUUUUGAAGAAGACCACAGAAAGUGACUUCAGAAUCCACGAACCUUUACAAAUAAAUAAUUUCACAAACCUCUCUUAAAGUUUAUGACAAUUAAAGACAGUAACCAUCAGGUUUGAAAAAUUACACAACCCUCCUUUAAAAAAUGAAUUGGAGUUUCAUUUUGCUGAUGUAAAAAAGAAAAAAAAAAUCGCUAUUAAUAAUCCUAAAUGACAAAGAUUAUUGCCAUUAGCCCAUUACCUUAACAAGUCGUUUACAAAUCUUCUUUCUCUGUCUCAAAAUCAAACCCUAAAAACUCACCGAGUACACCUACCUCUUCUUCGUGCCUUGACUUCCAAACCUAUUUGAGAUUGGAAUGCACCACUCUACCAGAAAUUUUUAUUUCUUGCCAUUUGACUUCCUUGAAUCUCCAUAACCUUUUCUUUUGUAGAAGUACCUUAAAAUCUAGGCACCAGUGUUAUUUUUUUACCAUCCCAUUAGCUCUAAAUACCUUUCCUCUUAAAAAAUAUCACCGAGUUGAGUGGCUAGUAGGUGAUGCUACCUGUCUACCACUCAACCUAUUUCUAUCCCUCAACUGCUAUUGUCCUGCAGCGCUACGGCUCACAAGUUCAACUCACAAAGUAGAUGCAGACCAUGUUACCAUUUCUCGUGUCCUUCUCGGAAGAUGAUAUAUGGUAACAACUUAUUCUUUUAGAUACUUUCGAAAUUCAAUAUAUGGGUUUAAUUUGAUGUUCGCUAAUAAAGAAUGUACUACAUCUUAUCGAUUGAUUACGUACUGUAAAUACAACAUGCAAAUAGAAAAUGGUUACUUGUCUUCUACUCUCUCAAACCUCAACAAGUAUUUAAAAGUUGAGGGCCGAAAUCCUUCAUGAAGUUAGUUGAUGCUGAGUCAUCUUACAACCCCCCCCCCCCCGGGGGGGGGCAACAAAUAAAAGAGUACUCGAUCGAGGGGUUUGCAGAAUAUAAGCACGAUAGAAUGAGUCAAGAAUGUUUGAAGACGGCUAGCUAGCUAGUUUGGAGAAAGCAAGGAAUCAAUGGUACAACCUUUUUUUACUGAAAAUGUGUUGAUACUCCUCCAAGUGGUGCAACUCUUGCCUCUCUUCCAUCAUACAUCAAAUUAACAUAGGAUACCAAACGAGGAAAACAUCACCCCCUAGCUAGCUUUUCUGUACAUCUAAACUUGCGAGUUGUGACCUGUUCUGAUGUUACAUGACCCAAGAUCACUUUAUGACACUGGAGCAAGGGUUGUAAUACGUACUCAAAAGAUACGCUGUUUCUCAGGGUUCCCACGAAAGUUACCAGUAGUGCAUAUGUAAGAACGAAAAAAGGUUCAUUGCAUGAUAGGUGUAUAUAUAUAUAUAUAUAUAUAUAUAUGUGGGAUUACUACAGUUAAUUUAAUUCUUACCAGAAAAGGAACCCAAGAAGUUGUAGUUAUUGAGGUUCAACCUUUAGUCGUUUCAUCACUCAGCCAAGCCUCAUCAGAAACUAGCAGAAUUGGUUAACUAUUGUCUUUAUAAUUCUUCAUAACUUCGAAAAAUUGGUUAAACAUCCGAAACAAUCCAAGAGUCAUCAAUUAUCAAAGCCAACGGGACCCGUCUAAACGUAAUAAAUGGGAGGCUCCAGUCCAGACGAAAGUCCUGAUCACGUUCACAUGAACCUGCUGUCCCCCACCUUCCAACCUUACCCGUCCGUUAUGUGCCUUUUUUUUCUUUUUCUUUUUUUGGAAAAUAAAUAAGUUACGCAAGCCCAUCUAAUCUAGUGCAAAUUAAAAUAUUUGGAAAUUAUAUUUUAAUGUGAUUUAUUUAAGAUUUUUCGUACUAUUUUGGGCAAAAUAAAUGAAAGACCAUGAAUAUAAUAGAUAUAAAUAAAUAGAAGAUGAAGAUACAACAAUAAUGUGUGGCGGUGGUGCUGCGAGUGCGAGUAAAGUUGGGGUUCGCCACUUUUGCCAAACGGGUUCACGUGCUUCCGUUCCCUGCUGUUAUCUGACCAAGGCCAACUAGUCUGGCCCGGGCCGCGCUUACGGUCCCACAUAGAUACGGAAGCAGAACAGAGAAGGGACCAUCCUCGUGGACUUCGGCCCAAAGUCUGCUGGGCCACGCCCAUGUUCUCAACUUGCUUCAGAAAGUCCUAAUUUUUCCUCACGUGUUAAGACUGAGAAUAUCUGAAUUCCCCCUUUUCCCCCAAAUUCCCCACCGCCCCGUUCCUUUCAGACAGGCUGGAAUAGGAACAGCCAACUUGCAUAAUGGUAAAUAAAAAAAGUUUCUUUUUUUUUUUGGUUGGGGUGUAAGAAAAUAAAAAAUAAGGUUGAAAUCGAGCAAAAGUCUGAUAAAAAAAAUCGGGCAAAAGUACAACAACACUUUUCAGGUUUUGUUUGACUUGUUAAAUAUUGAGGUUACCAUCUUAGGGUGUGUUUUGAUAAAAUUAAAAUCUGAAUUAAUUAAAUUGUUAAAUAUUAAAUUUAAUACAUUUGAGUGUAUAUCACAUUCAAUGAGAAGUGAAUUUCUUAUCACCUAAUUUUGAGAGCAAAUUUUGUUUAGAAAAUUCAGUGCCACUUAAUUAAUUCAUAUGUUUAAUUUUUUGUUAUCAAACGAUUUGAAUAUAUUAAGAUCUGAUUCCAUUAAAUUUAAGUGGCGAAUUGAUUUAUCAAACAGGACCUUAGUUUAUUUUGAUUACUACUCUGCCAAAACAAUCUUCUGAGGCCACAAAAUUCCUGAGCGGUUAAUGGAAAAUAAGUCCCGAAAAAGCUUGCUAACAAAUCUAGCAAAAUUUCAGCUAGCACAUACAUAUAUAUAUAUAUAUAUAUAUAUAUAUAUUUACAUCAUAAACACAAAGAGCAUACAAAACCCAAGAUAUUAUUGUUACACUCUAGUGCAGUGCAUUGCGUCUUUCCGGCAAUUUCUAGCAAUAAAACAUCACAUUCUUCACUUUUUCUUUCAAUGCUGGAAGAGGCCGCACAGCUGAAUGAGUAGUGUUGCGGGAAGCGCUCUCGUGAACCUCAGGAUCCAUGUAAAAUCGAGCUCUGUAGGCUGCCAGAUGUGCAUAAUAUGCAGGAGGCACUGCAUCCAAGAAUACAUUUAGUAUAUGCUUCUAACAAAUGACAAAAAAGGUGAAUGAAACUGCUUCACCAUGUACCAAUGUGCUUGAAUUUUGAUUACAUCUUUGUUCAAUGCAAUGGACACCGUGAUUGACUGACUAAAGUUAUUCUUCCUAUCCUUGAAGAAUAAAAGUUUCAGUGCAAUGAAACUCACCUACAGAUACAGAUCGAGUACACCUAGCAUACCUGCAAAUUAAGUUCAGUUGCCAAGUUAGCACCACGAAAUGCACCUGAAAAUUUUCAUUGUGGUGUGGGUGGCGGAAUCUUAGAAUUUUUGGUAAAGAAAGAAAGGAAAAUUUUACGUGUAACAAAGGUUGUUUGUCAGGGACUGGAUUUCGUCUGCCGUAAAAUUAUUCUCAUCCCAGAGGACAUGAUAAUGUGCUGGUCGACUGGUUCCCUGUUAUUUGCCAAUCAAAACAGUUCGUAAAGGACGUUGAACAACGUUACGUGUUAGUAGCAACGAAUUUAAUUAUCGCCCUGAAAAACCUCCAUUGAACUUUCCCUACCACAAAAGAGAUCUUGAGAUCCCACAAAAGACCUGGAACCAGUUGAAAUACCUGAAUUCCGGCAUGACUGCACAGAUAGAAGUCAAACUCGGUAGGAUGACAUAUCUUAGUAUCCACAACCGUACCUACAAUAAAUUAUUUUGUCCAACAUUACAUCAUAACAAGAAAUUUCAUUCGAGAGAGAGUCAACGGCUCAUUUAGUGAAAGGCACGUGGAUUCCUUGAGCACCUGAUAAUUUUUUUCCAAAUUUUGGGAAAAUCUGAUACUAUGAUGGCUCUAGUAAUAAGGGUAAAAAGAAAAAAAAAUAAAAAUAAAAGCUCAUUUAGUGAAGCUCACAGUACAUCUUAUCGCGGUAGCUGGAUUAAGGAAUUUAAUGUUUUCUCAAUAAUGGUAACCAGAUAUCAAUGAGCAGCAAUAGCAGAAUUGAGGCAUUACCAGGUAAGACGUUCCCACUCCUGUCUAUGUUGCUUUUAUCAUUGUGGUUGUUUGCAAAGAGCCGUGUAUGAUGGCGCUUUUGGACAACAAUGAAAGUAACUGGUGGCUGGUAAUUCGGUUCAAGGGAAGCACAAGCCUGGAAAGGGUAAAGAGUGUAAACAAAAACAAAAGCAGUCAUGUCUUAAAUACGGUAACUACGUAAUUCACUAACCUUGCGAAUUGCAUCAAGUUCAUACAGUAGAACCUGGUAAAACUGCCCAUCACUGACUCCAUCCCUGUACAAUCAUGCAACAGGAAAAUGAAAAUCAGCAUAAAUUGUACUUAGGCUUCCAGCAUCCUAAAAGCAAACCAACAGGCAACCAUUAUUCCGUGAUUAUUGCUCUAGCAUCGUAGCAUAGGCAAUUAAAUGCAUGAUUUCUUGUGAUGGAGUUGGUUGGGUGAAAUUGACCAAGUACCGGUAGAAUAUUAUUCUCGAUGGUUUCUGUCCAGUAGACUUCUUGAAUGACAACAGAAGCUCUCUGGUGAAAAAUCAAGACCAACGUUAGCAAAUACAAGAUUCUACGGGUUAAUGCAUUUUAAGCUUCAAGAUAUUGACAUUUUGUUCAUCAUGUUGAUCUUCUUCUUUUCUUAUACUGGGAAAGGGCACAAUUGCAGGCAUUACAUUCACGAAUUAAGCGAUCUCAUUAACAAGAUAGAAAAAUUCCAUUGCAUGUUAUCAAGCAGACAGCAAAAUUCAUGUUAAUAUUUUAAGAGAACCAAAGGUGGACCUGAUCAUGCCCCCAUUUAGUGUGCCCCUUCGAGGAUCUUUCCAGGUUCUAUAUAGAUCCUGAAUUAGUUCUUGUCUUCGAGGCUGAGCGCACACCAAUCCUGCAUAUUUAGUAACUUCUGGCCAGUCUUGGGAGGCGACAACCUAUGUUAAAGUUUCAUAUUGAGGUUCAUAUACUCUGCAAUAUAAGAAGUCCCAAGCAAUACAAGUUGAAUUCUUACAGCAGCAAUAGAUGGGCUAUACUCCUCUCCACACUCAGGAUGAGUAACAUCAGCUCCGAAUAUUAUUGUUGGAAUGUCGCUUACAAGAGGAAUUUUCCAUCUUAAGGCAUCCAAAAGCACAGUGUUCCUUCCUCCCAUCUGGCGGGUUGAAGAACGAACAUGCAGAAAAGAUUUUGUAUUUAAACAUCAGUUCUUUGAAAUUGUGUCAUUCAACUAAACCAACAGUCAAUGCAGUAGUUAUAUUCAGCAACAGACCUUUACAUUAAUCUUGAGAGCUACGUUUGACAGAUACUGCUUGUUAACUUUUAAGACAUGCUUUGUGAGGCAGCACUGAGAGAUCAGACCCAAAUCAGUUUCACAAAUUCGCUUCAGGUUACCUGAAUAUUGUUGGGCAUGUUGCCAUUAAGAAGCGAUGUUUCCAUUGUAAUAUGCUAUAAAAACUUGAAAUAAUUGAUCAAACAAUUUUAUAAGGCGCAGAAAUAAUAUUAGUUUAGUAACAAGCAGGUUUACGCUAAAAUAAUAUUAGUUACUAAACUAAUAUUAUUAACAAGCAGGUUUACGCUAAUUCUCUCUUUUCUCAAUUAAACUUCUUAUUCCACACUUUGACAAAGAAAGCAAGACAGAAGUUAACAAGAAUUGUUCUAAUACUAUGGGGAUGAAGUUGUGUCGGAACAAGUUGGACGCAUACCAUACAGAGACCCAUUGUUGUCAGGAAGGAUGGCAAUAAGAAGCUCUAACUCUUUUCCUCCUAAUCUGUUUGCAGCCGCAUUGUAUACAUAUCCCAGAGUCUUCUUUACUUGAUCAGGUCUGGCCACAUAGAUUGGGAUCACAGGAUCACAAUUGAUUUCCUGAAAUUAAGGACAAUAGUUUGGCUUCUGAUUAUUCAUUAAUCAGUCAAAUUGUCGAAUAUGCCCAAACUUUUUCAAAGGAAGAAAUCAGUCAGUAAAAGCAUAUUACAAGCUACUGAAGCUGCAGCCUUUCAUACGAGAGAAUAUAUUACCAUUCCUGAGUCUUGGCACAUCUGGACCAGCUGCUGACAAAAACUGCAAGCAGUACUCUCUUGGACACCUCUUGAGAAGUUAAUGCAUGCCCAAUAAUUAACAGUGCUACCAUUUAUCACUUUCUGAAAUGUGAAAAGAGUUAUACCAAUCAAGAAUCUAGACAUGGAUCAAGGCAUUAUAUAUCUUCAACUACUUUCUUAUACCACAAAGAUUGCUUUACCUUAUUUAUCAUGUUCCACUGACCUAGCUGAGGAAGAUAUUCUUUCUCUUUCCCAGUUUCGUGGUACUUCAACUAAUUGAAAGAAAAGAAAAAUUACAACUGAUUCAAGUCAUGACAUUUUGGAUUCAUGAAAGAGGAACUUUUGAAAUUACCCAUGGAGCUGGAAGAACUCGAGCUUCAACUGAUGCAAGCUUUUCAUCAACAGUAAUGCCAAAUUCUUUGGCUAGGGGAUCUUGCUUGUAAGCAUUGUGUUGAAUUGUCUGGUGACAAGCAGGCACCUUUUAGUGUAACUGUCACUGGAAUUGAAGAUUUUGCAGUCUCUCUUGUUUUAUGAAUUUUUUAGAUUGUGCAAACUACCACAAAAACUAUGAGCUUCAAAUAGCAUCAUGAUCCCAAGUAUUUAAUGCUUCAAGAUUAUCCAGAUACCAAGAAGUUGCAGCCAAAGGAAGUUGAGGUUUCAGAAUAAAAUAAAGCACAAAGAAAUCCAACACAAAAUGUUUAUACCUGCAUAAUGUCCAAUUCUUGAUCCUGGGGUCUUUGGCAUGAGAACUUCAACAGAGAAGUUAUCUGCUUCUCAUUCAGCCUUUUGGUGUAUCUCUGUCCCUCAACAAUCUUGCAAGCCUGAUUGGGAGGAAAAGCUUCAUGAUAGCAUUACAAGAUAAAUAGUAACGGGGAAAACUAGGAGUUUUUUAUCCAUAGCAUUUACCUCCAUUGGCAAGUAAUUCAAUUUCUUUUGACUUCCCACUUGGAGGCAAGGUAGAUGGGAAUGUUGAAUGGUGAAUUUGUACACCUCUUGAAAGUAUUCAAUGACAGUUUUCAUGUUCUUUUCCUCAUCAACUGGAAAACUGCAAGUACAUGAUCAUAGCUGAACUGACUAGCAAACUCAGGGAACAAUCACUAGAAUUAAAGGCCAAUAACAAAAACAUACAUCAGUUCUCUUGUUGGCUGUGAAGUCAACCCUAUUAUCCGAUAUUUUCUUCGCAUAUUUCCCCUGUGUGUAACUUCAACUUUGACACCUCUAAGGGCUUUCUUAACCUGAUCAAAAUAGGAAGGUCUAUUCGUUGGUAGUUCUUAAUUAUUGCCAUGAGAAGUAAUACUCAUUACAAUGACUUUCACCGCAAAUAAGUUUAGUAAUGAAAUGGUUAUGUCGUGGAAAACUAGAAAUGAUCAAAUUUAGCAUAACUCUUGGUUAUGCGGUAACCAGAUAAGAAGCCAAAGCUGAUAAAUGGUGCAAAACACAUCUCACAACCUGCCCAGCCAGCACCCCCCCUCUUCCCUGGGCACAAAAGAAAAAAAAGUUGGAAGUUUAUAUUUUAUUGAGUAACAUCAUGGCUACAUUAAUAGAACAAUAAAGUAAAAGUUAGCAUCAUCUGCCCCUUUGCCAAGAAAAAUUAAGACGCAACAAGGCAACAAGCAAAUCAUCUGUAUGAUUUCAUCAAGCCCCCCAGUCCAUAUAAAUAGGAUGCUGAGUAAGAAAAUCCUGAGUUUUGCUACAUCACUAUGACAAAUAUGGUCUUCGUUGUUGAGGAUUGAAAUGCAUGGAUAUGUUGAUCAUAAGGACUAAAAUGAAAUAGUGUAGCUCUACCUUUACUCGGUCUGCAUCAGACAAAGGUCUUAUGCUUAUAUCUUUUCCCAAAACUUGAGCAACAAACUCAACAACUGGAAGUGGUUCUAUAAACGCAGUCGAUGACAUGUCUGAUCAACAAAUGAACAGCACUAAGUGAUUGACGGAACAGUAAUUCACUAUUACCAGAAGGUUAGGCAAUAAAAGUUAGUAGGUGCUAAGUGAUUGCAAUACCAAUGUUCAGUGACAACCCCAUCUGAGUAGGUUUUAUGCUCUGAUAGAAGCCCCUCCAAGACUCUAACCCGUUGCCUAGUGACUGUGGUCUCUUAAGAGUAGGGGAGUAGAAGAAUCUCCCAACUGAAACAUACCUGAAAACAAAUGAGUAAGAAAGUAACUGAUAGUGAUUAAUAAUUGAUGAAACCUUCAUCAAUAGCUACAGAACUAAUGACAUGCACACGUUGAUCCACAAAAAUGUAACCUUUGUGCUGCAAGCUCCCUCAGUACAACAUCAAUAAUCUUAAGAGCUUGUGAGUUGGUCUCGACUUGUUUCUCAGAGAGAACCUCACGACAUUGAAGCAUGUUAGCCUGAGCUACAAAUUUGAUUGUCACCAUAAAUCUGCAUUUCCUUAUGUCGUUAUUGAAAACUGGAGCAAGUAUUUCUUGCAUUUCUUGAGGUAAGAUAAUCAAAUCUUUCAUUAACUUAUGAAUAGCCAUAUAUAUUCAAAUGAGUUCAACACAUAUAGAGAAUCUAUAUCAAUGAUCACUUACUUUGUGAUGCUCAUGGACUCAUCUAAAUCAGACAAAUUUAUGGUGAAGUCUUUCAAGGUAAAAGGAAGUAAUCCGGCUGUGUAAAGGGCUCUUCUUCCAUCAUAAACGGGAAGCAUCAUCCCCAAGUCAGUAUGUCCAUGAAGUUUAACCAACUGUUUCAUAAUAGCUCUGUUCAAUGGAGAAGAAUUAACUUCUGGAGUUAUUGUAACCUGCACGAACAGAACAUCUACCACAAUAUGAUUCCAGUGGACAUUAUUAUGUAUUCAGAAGUAAAAGAAGAACGAAAGAAAUAGCUUACACUAUAAUGACACAAGUUCUUUUCUGAUAUUUCAGCAAUGAAAUGGUUGGCUUUUACCACACAUUUGGAACCAAGUGUUCCAUAGCCUGGCCUACAAGGAAAGGUGAGACUUCUUUCUGAAAGAGGAGGAGAGACAACACAAAUUUCCGAUGUCAUAUCCUGAAUCUUUUCUAGUUGUGCCCCUUUUCCUCUUCUCCUUCUCCUCCUCUUUCCCACACUGCUCUUAGUAUCUUCAGUGUUAUCUUCACAUGUUUUGAAGGUUUCAGAUUGGGUAUUUUGAUUCAUCGCCUCCUGUAAUGGUGUCCGAGAGAUAAGGUGCUUUUGCUCCGUGUGCUUCCUUUGCCAGUGAGGCAUUUUGUAGAGUCAGCAGCACCUUCACAUGGUAAAAAACAUUAGCAGGGCUUCGUUAGCAUUUUUUUGAUUAGCGGUCAGCAUGGAAAAAAGAUCAUAAAAAACGUUUUGGCUACUCUCUCUCUUAUUUUUUUUUUGGCUGACAUGGAAACUUUCUCGAAGAAUCUUAGAAAAUAAAGACUGGGAAAAGGAAGAUUCAAAAGUGAUACAAAAGAAUCAACAUUUUUCAGUAUCUUGUCAUCCUCCCUGGUACUCCUCUGCUUAAAGUCUCAACCUAAAAGUAGCAGGGUCAUGCAACCAUGCAGACACGCAAAAUAUUAUAAAAGCAACCACCUUUGAUUUUAACUUCGCAAACCGGACCCAUAUGAGCUUCUAUUUCUCAAUUCUCCAACAAUGAGAAAAGAGGGAAAAAUGGAGAAAGAACAAAAGAAACAAUAGGAACAGCCUCAAAGAGGCACUACAAACAUUUUAUCGUUAGGGAGAGAGUCAUUACAUCAGCAAAACAAUUAUACUGUUUCUGCUUAUUUGUUCUUUCAUUGAAUUUGCAACUGUAGAACUCGCAAUAGUUAAAUCCAAUAAAUGCUGAGCCAAAAUAUUUUGAAAAUAAAUGACGAAGCAAUUUACUUUUGAUGCAUGAUAGUCUCAAGUGCAUACUAACUUUUAUCCUUAAAAUGUUGCAACAGUUAAAUCAUGUCCACGGCUGCGGUCUGUAAAAAUUUUGGCCCCUAAAUCAGCUGGGGGUUUUACAUGGUAAGUAAAGCAAUACAAGAGCUACCAAAAAGAGACAAAACAUCAAGCAAAAAAAUGAAAGAAGAGACAACCAACUGCCUAUUCAAUGCUUAACAACUCAAUCUUCAAUGGAAAUUCUUUCUUGGGAUGACCAAAAUAGUAUGCAGAAUCCCCAUUAUAUCAUCAGUUUUGCAACUCUGUAUCAGCAAUAUGAGGUUGACAAUUCCACCUCUAGCACUUUUGUAAGACAAACGUGCUAGAUAUGCAGCAGCCCCUUUCGAGAUUCUAUAAUGCCCUUGACACAUGCAGCGGUAAUUUGGUUGGUAUAGAAGUGUCAAGUGUACCUCAAUAGCUAACAAGAUGACAGUGGUAGAGUGCCUGGCUUUGCAUUUGAUUACUGAACAAUGAUGCCACGUAUCGCUAGACGAGCAAGAUGGAACUAACAAGAGCAGGUUCGGUACUUUUACUUGGGCCAACUGGAGAAGAGAACGCCAAUUCGUUAUAGAUGAACUUAAGUCUAGGCCCCUAUAAACUGGAAUAUUCAUGAUAUUCAUUGCGUUGUUAUUCAGUCAAUUGAGUCAUAGCUAAACUAAAUCCUCUCCUGCGAGACUUGAGUCCAACUUCAGCGUUCUAUGAUGCAGCUCCUAAUUUCCAGCAAUUAUAGGAUAUGAUCACUUGUUAAAUAUCCGACAGGAAGAAAAGGAAAAGGAAAAAGAAAAAGGGUCUGCUCACAUCCAGACUUGUAACGGUCAAAAGAGAGAAUCCAUCGGACGGCCCAACACAACACAAUGUGGGCUAUCCGUACUGCUGCGGUUCGCACUAUCCUAAAAGGAGUGCCCUGCAUGCUGCAGCCUUCUUCUUGCAAUUAUUUUUUACUAGAUAUCCUAUUCAAUGGACUCUUCUGAUUAGCUCACUAACAUUUCUUUUUUGUGCUGAAGCUGUUUUCCUAGCAAACUCAGUAUAUAUGUGAAUUAGGUUUAGCUUUGAAAUGGAGAAAGGCGAAAGAAUAAUGGCCCAGAAGCAUAUACUGACGAAUAGCAUGAGAGACAACAACGAACAUGGUACUGUAAUUAGUAGUGUAAGUACACAGCCAAAUAUUGAGCAGCCAAACUCCUAUAUACAGUUCAACUCAAAUACUACGUUUGUAAAACAAUUUAAUUAACAUUCUCAACAAAUAAAUGCAGUUUACGAUUUGAAUUCUGAACCUAACAGUCUAUGGUGGAAAAGGGUGUGGAGAAAGGUGGAAGGCCCAAAAAAAAAAA
rnacentral:lncRNA from 1 species